UUAAAAACCUAAUCGGACUAGGUUUCCUUUCCCUGAUCAGCAUCAACUCGACCAGUCCUACCUUCACUAGGACUGUGAACCUAGUCCUUUACCUGAACCGGAUCCGCUUCCGGGUCCUGCCGAGACUCCUUAUUGCACUAGGAUUCGACCUCUUGCAUUAUGACCUAGCCGACCUAGGUUUGGAGGCCCACGUACUGAACGAUCCGUGGUAUUCUUGCCGCAAGGCCUCCCGGGCCGAGAAUGACCCUACACUCGGCCCAAACUGUUAUUUUGGGCCCAAACAUUGCCCCCUCGCUUCUGAGGUCCUCGGCCUGAAUUCUUUGGCCGAGUUUCGGCCUUGAAGAAGCGAAUCUGUCACUCAGAACCCUAAUGCCCGAGUUCCAAGGCGCAUUUAUUGAACACGAUUGCACGAUCUUGAUCCUGCUAACCAAACUUGCCACGUGGCAUCCUUUAAUACGGCCAACCUCAAUGAUGUCGUCCAAGGCGUGCGGCUGCCUGAACAGUCGACAUUAUGACCACUAUCUCAAUCCGCGAGCCACUUUCUCAGUUCGUGAGCCCACUUGUUAUCGUGCAGGCGUCGAAACGUCUUCCGCCAUUAAUUUCGCCGUCACACGCAAUCGUGCGCCCCCAACAUCUGAAACCUUCGGUCUUCUCAACUACAUUUCCCAAAUGUUCAUCAUGAUCAACGAUUCUUUCGGUCGAUUUUGCCCCUUUGUUUUGAAUUUCAAACGAUUACCCUUCCUGCCAAAAGCCUAUAAAUACUGAAAACCUCUUAUUCGCACUUUACGCUCCCAAAACUUUCUGAAAAACUCUCGCUCUUAUUUUCCAGCACCUUUCUUUUUCAAGUCUUCGUCUUCAAAUCUCCCUACCCAGAAAACCCUUUUACAUCGUGCUUCCUUCUUACAAUGGCGUCCUUCAUCUCCAAGCUUUCCAAGGAAUGUGACCAGCAUCAGAAGAUUCUUGAUCGGAGCUCGAUCAAAACUAUACGGUUUGAAAGUGACAUGAACACUGCUUGUCACCCUUGUUCCAAGGGUUUGAAUGGUCAAGAUGGGAGGCAGCGAAACCCCAAGGCUCCUGGCCUUCGACCACUACAACAUGGGCAGCCUGGGUCGUUCGAAUGGAGAAGCUCUUCGGCAAGCAAUGGAAAGUCCUCGGCCUUUACGACGCCAUCCUUCUUUCGUCUAUGGACAUCGUUCUCGACAAGGAGCUUCUCCUAGCCGCCUUAUGCUUCUGGUGUUCGGCCACCAACACCAUGGUUCUUCCCCUUGGUCCUAUCGGCCCCACCAUUCUUGAUGUCACUGCCAUCUUGGGGACUUCAGCAACUGGAAUCCCCAUUGAUGCUGCUCUCUCCGGAUAUCGGUCGAAUCUCGACCUGAAGACGCUCUUCGACCGACGAGCUUUUGAGACGUUGAGCCGUGAGGGUCAUAUCCCCUCAAAAGAAGACGUUUAGAAACUCCACAAGAACUUCUUCAACUACAACACCCUCUAUCUCCAUUUCGCUGGCCGAUGAGAAGAGGCCCUGCGGGAAGGGGAACAUGAAGCUUUCCUUUUCUACUGGUACAACAAGUACAUUUGUUGUACCAAAUCGAACAAAUGCCUGGUCGAGAAUAUGCCAGUGGCCGAGGCCCUGGCUAGCGGUCAUGUCCUGGCACUUGGCCCCAACAUCUUGGCCCAUCUCCUCCGUUGCCUGGCUGAGACGACCCUACACAAAAUUGACCCCUACCAGAAUGGUCCUCUCUGGGUCUUUCAACUCUGGCUCCAAGUGUAUUUCGCCUCCCUUCGGCCAGCAAUCGUCGAUUUCUCUCCCACAGAGGCGCUUGGACCUCAGCUGGCCUCUCGACCAAUACCCCCUCACCGAGCCGAAGAAAUAUUUAAAUUCUUUUUCGCUCUCGACGAUCUCUCCAACGAUGAGUUCCUGAUAUGUCGUCGUCGGGCAUAUCCUUCCUCGGUCAGGCUACCUAUAUCGGCGUGGAGCGCAGAUGAAGACGCCGACCUUCGUCAGUCCUGGGGGUCAUUCGUGCUUGCUCGCGACCUCCCCCUCGGUUGCGAUGGAAAACGAGCGGGUUGGGAAGUGUAUCAUCCCAACUUCCUUGCUCGGCAGCUUGGCUACCUCCAAGGUAGCCCAGUCCCCCUUCUCUCCUCUCGGUCCGUCCUAAGUCGCGGACGUGAACCUGGCUCCUCAGAGAAGGAGUGCGCCGACGCCAAGAAGGAGUUCCAGGAACGGUGCCAGAAAUUUCACCUUCGACCGGCCACUCCAGAGACCCUUUGCACCGACACCUUCGGUGAUUGGUGGGACAGUUAUACCCAACGGUUUUUCGGGGUCUCGGUCGAUACCAUUGUGGACACACUUUUUGGUGGUCGACCUAAAAAGUCUUCUGCCCCCCAACCCCAAGGUAGUUGCUUUAUUCCUCUUUUUUUUUCUUCAACCUUGCAUAUUGAUUUGCAUCACUGACUUGUUUUUAUCUUUUUAGGUAGUCGGCCUUCGAGAAAAACGGAGGCUGUUGCCGCGGCCACGGUCGAGAAAAAAUCGGCCGUGGUUACAAGGGGUAAAGCUGCUGGUCGGGCCGUGCUGACCAAACGACCUCGCCCAGAGGCCGAUCCGGUCAUCGAACCUCCGCCGCCUGCCAAGCGGGUAAAACAGCUGGCAAAGAAGGGCGCACGGGAGAUCCACGUAAUCUCCAGUCAAACUACAGGGGCGACGACUCCCAGUGUUUCCCCUCCUCCUGCCGUUGUUCAACCCUCGGUCGAAAAACAGCCCGCCCCGGCCGCAGCGACAGUUCGAACGCGGCCUAUCUCUGGAACUGGUACACCAGUUGUGCCUCAUUCCGCCGAGAAAGCAUCCGCUCCAAAGGUGGUUUCUACGACCGAGGGAACAGCCCCUGAAAAUCCAAAACCCUCGGUCUUCAUUCUGGAAGAGAGUGAGGGGAGCGACGAGGUCCCGCUGGCAGACCGUCCUCACUCUCGUCGGCAACCUCUCCCAAGGUCCGAAACGGUGGCCCAAUCCGGCCCCUCCAGCCCGGUCGAGGAACCGACGGCGGUGGCCGAACCCCUCGCUACUUCUCAGGAACAGGAUGUCCCUGCCUCCUCCGAAACGGCUGUUCCAGUCGGCCCAUCUGCAGCCGACCGGGGCAAACGCCCGCUUGAGGAACCUGAGGCAACGGCGGACUCACCCGUUCAUCCUCAAGACCAGGGCUUCCAUAUUCCUCCACAGGAGGUUACCUCGGCCUUCGUGAGUACCUUCGACCAUCUUUCCUUAAUUUUUUUUUUUUUUUUUUUAAAUUCUAAACGAGAAAAAUAAUAAAUGUCAGGUGCCUGUACAUUCUUUUCACCGACAAUUCUAUGCGCCGAAGGGCGUUAUCUAUAUUUCUUGGCCGCCUCAGUGGCCAUCAAACGUAGAUAACCUCCAUCGGCCGCGUGAACUGAGAAGCAACCUGAGACACUGGGCUCGGCCAUUGAGUUCUUUAGGUUCGAACAACGAUCCUGGAGACAUGGCCGAGGUCUCCUCUCGGCAGGUUAAAAAAAACGAAACCUUUUUGCUAUUCUUGUCGUGACUUCCUUUAAGCCUAAACUGAUUUGUUACGCGCAGGCUUCGUGGGAGGUCGAAUUCAAAGCCCUCCUCUCCAGCACAACUGCCGAGUCCGGCCCUUCGGCUGCUCCGACUGAGGCUGCCGAUCCAACCGCUCUAACCCAGCUGCGAGAAAUUCUGUCGCUUUCAGCGCCGCAAGUACUCGAGCGCAACGGUCUUGACAUGCUUGGCGUGUGUCUGAACGAUCUUGGGGCUGACGGUCGCCUGAGCGGAAAUGCCAUCAUUCAGGCAUCGUCUGCCUUGGAGCGUGUUCGGGAGACAUUUAAUGUCUUCCAGACCGCUCUAAAGGCCGAACAGGACUUGCAAGCUGCCACGGCCGUUCAAGACACUCUCCGUCCGAAAAUCGACGCUCUAAGGGCAAAAGGAGAAAUAUUAGCCGAGCUCGACCGUCAGAUGGCCGAGUUGGCAAAACGUCGGUCGGCCGUCGCGUCCGAGCUUGCCAAAGACUUCGAGUUGGGCGGAAAGGAUCGCCUGACUGAGUACGCGGCGACAACGAAGCGGGUUGAGCGGUUGAAGCUAGACAAGAAGAAUCGGCAAGCUGAAGUUAUCAUGGCCGAGGUGCGGUGGUUGGAAUUGAAGGCCCUUCACAGCACCCUCCUACCUUCUUCCCCUUGAAUGUACUUAGUUUUAACCUGACUGACUUACUUAGCUUGUACAUGUUCAUCAAUCUUAAUGAAAUAAUUUUGUUUAUUCCCGCAUUUCCCAUGUGACCGGAUAGUAUUUCUUCAAAAACUUCCCAUUGAUCGGUAAUCUGUGCACUACACCGGUUCGGUCUUUAAGAUGAUACGCCCCUUUUCCGUAUACUUUAUGCACAAUGAACGGCCCUUCCCAAUUCGGCGACCACUUGCCGAACCUAGGAUCUUUUAGCCCUACGGGCAACACCGUUUGCCACACUAAUUCACCCUCGCCGAAUGUUUUCUGUCGCACCUUUUGAUUAUAGGCCCGCUCGGCAAGCUGUUUUUGGGCCACCAACAAGUUGUAAGCGUCAAGCCGUGCUUCUUCCAAAUCUUCUAAUUCCUGUCUCAUGGACUGAUUAUAUUCGGCGCUAAACAAACUACUUUGUUCAAUUAAUCGCAACGAAUUUAUGCUCAACUCGACUGGUAACAUUGCAUCGUGUCCGUAGGUUAAUGCGUAUGGGGUUGUCGCGGUCGCCGACCGGGGCGUCGUUCGGUAUGCCCAUAAUGCCUCUUUCAACUUUAAAUGCCACAUGCCAGGCCUUUCUUUUAUUAUUUUUUCGAGGAUGCCGAUCAACACUUUAUUACUUGCCUCGGCCUGCCCAUUCGCCUGUGGAUAAUACGGUGUGGACUGUUCCAACCGAAUUUUCAAAUUUACCGUGUAUUCUUUAAAACUUUCAGCUGUCAAGAUUGUUCCAUUGUCGGUUAUGAUCGUUUCUGGUACACCGAACCGGGUCACAAUGUGUUCCUCCACGAAGUCGCAAACCUCUUUAGAUGUUAACUCGGCAUAUGAUUUUGCUUCGACCCAUUUAGUAAAGUAAUCAGUUGCGACUAUUAUCCAUGCAUGCUUAGCAGCUCCAGAAGUCGGCGUGAUUUUGCCGAUUACGUCCAUGGCCCAUCCUCUAAACGGCCAUGGCUUAAUGACCGAAUGUAGUGACUCGGCCGGGACCCUUUGUAUAGGCCCAUGGAUUUGGCACUGUAUGCAUCCUCGUGCAAACUCGAUACAAUCUUUCAGUAUUCUCGGCCAAAAAUAACCGUGUCGUCGGAGUAGCCAUCGCAUUUUCCGUCCGGAUUGAUGAGCUCCGCAUACCCCUUCAUGAACCUCUGUGAUCGCCCGAGCACUCUCUUGAGGGCCGAGGCAUAGCAGUAGUAAUCCAUCCUCCCAUUUUCGAUAUAACUCGUUUUGGUACGCGACAUAGUUCGUGGCGUGAACUCGUGUCUUGCGACUAUGUUUUCCAUUAGGAUUGUCAAGGUACUGCAUAAUGGGCUUUCUCCAAUCAUCUGGUGUUGCCUCGGCGGUACAAACCUCAAUAGUAUCUUGUCGGUCUAACAACGAAGGUAAAGACAUGACUCGAGUGCGUAUUACAUCGUCGCGCCGGAAGAUUUGCUGGUUGACCAAGGCCGGGUAUAAUUGUCGUAACACCGGUAUUUCUCGACCUAGCUUGCCCCCCAGGAGUUGUGCACCAGAGGCAAUUUGAGCCAACGCAUCUGCGUCGGUAUUAUGGAUCUGGGAAACAUGUUCGAACGUAAUACCGUCGAAGGACUCGGCCAAAUAGCUAGCAACCAUGUGGUAAGGUGCUAGGGUACAACUCAUGCAGCGAAAAGAUCCAUUAAGUUGGUUGAUCACAAGCUCAGAGUCGCCGAGGACGAGGGCACGGGUGGCCCUCAAGUGAUGAAGAAGGCCAAGGCCGAUGAUUAAGGCUUCAUAUUCGGCCUGAUUAUUGGUGCAGUCAAAAUCCAACUUAAGCGAAAAAUACCAACGAUCGUGAUUAGGAGAUUGAAUGACAACUCCAACACCGGCCGAAGAUGAAGUGCUGGACCCGUCAAAAUACAUCGUCCAAUAGUUGUCGCGUGUUUCAACCAUGCCGAUUUCGUCCCCAAAACCAUAGGGGGAAGGAUGCUGAGCCAGGAAAUCGGCCAAUGCUUGGCCUUUGACAGCUUUCUGAGGCACAUAUUGUAGGCUAAACUCGGACAACGCCAUCGUCCACUUCCCAAUUCUCCCUUUUACGAUCGGCCGGGUAAGCAUGUACCGGAUGACAUCGGUCUGGGCAAUGACUUGUGUGACCGACGGAAGCAUGUAAUGCCGGAGUUUAGAGGCGGCGAAGAACACGGCAAGACAGAGCUUCUCCACGGCGGAAUAAUUGAUCUCCGGUGGAUUAAGAUUUCGACUGAGGUAAAAAAUAGCCUGCUCUCGCCCGGCAUCAUUGUCUUGGGCAAGGAGGCAGCCGAUGGACUCUUCAACCGCCGAAAUAUAUAGCUUAAGAGGCUUACCGCGCCGGGAAGGAACCAAGACAGGUGGGUUCGUGAGGGAGACUUUGAUUUGCGUAAACGCCGCUUGGUGCUCGUCGUUCCACACAAAUUUAUCAGAAUCCUUGAGUUUUAAGAGUGUGGAAAACGCUUUCAUUUUUCCUGCCGAGUUGGCAAUAAAUCGGCGGAGGAAAUUGAUUUGUCCAAGUAAAGACUGGAGCUGUUUCUUCGUCGUUGGGGGUGGCGCCGCGAUGAUUGCGCGUGCCUUAUUCUCAUCGACUUCAAUCCCACGAUGAUGUACGAGGAAACCAAGAAAAUUCCCGGCCGAUACACCGAAGGCACACUUGGCAGGAUUCAUCUUGAGGUUGUGCUGACGCAUGCGGAGGAAAGCCUGUCGGAGAUCGUCCAGAUGUGUCUGUCGGCGUUUAGAUUUUACGACAACAUCGUCGAUGUAAACUUCAAUGAUGGUGCCAAUUAAAUCAUGGAAGAUGGUGUUCAUCGCCCGUUGGUACGUGGCGCCGGCAUUCUUGAGGCCGAAUGGCAUGACAACCCAUUCGUAAGUGCCGAGUGCCCCCGGGCAACGGAAAGCAGUUUUGUGCACAUCGGCUUUGGCAAUAAAUAUUUGGUUGUACCCGGCAUGUCCAUCCAUAAAGGAUAAAAUCGCAUGAUUCGCCGCGGCAUCGAUUAACAGAUCUGAAAUCGGCAUUGUAUACUCAUCUUUGGGAGUUACCAGAUUCAGAUUUCAAAAAUCGGUACAAAUGCGCAGUGCACCAUUUUUCUUUAAUACAGGGACGAUAUUCGCCAACCAUUCGACAUAUCGAGCUGUCCGAAUGAAUCCGGCUUUCAAAAGCCGAACCAGUUCGUCCUUGAUACUGAGUUGUACUUCGGUUGAUAAUCGACGAGGUGGCUGACAGAAAGGUUUAAAUCCGGGCUUAAUACGUAAUUCAUGCUCGACCAGAGUACGAUCUAAGCCGGGCAUUUCAUGAUAACUCCAAGCAAAACAAUCUUUGAAUUCCGUAAGCAAGGUACGAAACUCAUCUUUCAUUUGUUGGGGAAGUAAAGCACUAAUAAACAAAAACCGUGGGUCAUCGGCCGUCCCAACAUUAAUCUCUUCUAAAGGGUCCUUAACUAGGGGCCGAUGAUCCUCGAGCUCGGCUGGGGCGGCUCGAAUUUUGUCAAAAGAUAAUACAGGCCCAUUAUCUCCCUCAGCAAGGAACUCGACGAGGUUGACGCCCGAAUUUGGUUGUUUAGAUAUCGUAUACCAAUGGGCCAGCAGUCGUUCCAUAGUAUAUGAAACCGCGACCCUGUGUGUUUCCCGAUCGGUGUCAAACAUCAGCUUCGGGGAGGAAGUUGGCUAAUCCGAGUCUCACCGAAUCCUGCUGGACAGUCUCGGCGCCAACCUCGAUAGCUUUCUGAACGGAAAUCCGAGUCGGCCGUCCCUCUUCAUUGAAGCCUUGCAAAGUAAUGUAGCCGACGUGAUCGUCAUAAUACCGUGCUUGGAUCAUGUUAGCUUCGAAUGGCUGGCUAUCGGCCGGAUGAACAGUGACCGAUUUGCCGUCCCAAAAGACAAGCACUUGGUACAAUGAGGAAGGAAUGCAGCUGGUUUGAUGAAUCCAAUCUCGACCGAGCAGCGCAUUAUACUCGGUUUUGGAAUCAACCACGAAAAAGGCGGUCAUGUGGGUGCGACCGGCAAUAUUCACAGUUAACGGAAGUACACCUUUGGUGUGGGAUUUGUCGCCGACAAAACUACUAAUGGUGAUUCCUGACGGAAUAAGCUCGUCAUUUGAACGGCGUAAGGCCUUCAUGAUGUUCAGAGGCAUGAUAUUGACGGUAGCUCCACAAUCAACAAAAACUUUAGAAACUGGAUACCCCUCGAUGUGGGCCGUCACAUACAAUGGCUUCAAAUGGUGAAGCUUGGUCGAUGAUGAACGAGGGAACAAUUCGGCCAAAGCGGCCUUUAGACUAUCAUCUUUUGUUGUUGACUCGCAUUCAGCAAUCGAUACAAAAUCAACAUGGCCGGGUUCCUCGGCAACUACAUCUCCAUCGAGGAAAUUUGGUUGAGCCGUGCUUGAUUGAAAAUCAGCAGGUAACACAUGGACCAUACUGAUUUCCAUAUUAUCCAGGACUGACGAGCCCAUCUGGUCAAGACCCUCCUCAUUUGGUUGGUCGGCGACUACGGAUUCAGUUGUCGUCAAAGUCGGACAACGAGACUCUUCUGUCCCUUCUUCAACGACGUCAACCGGCGGAGCUGCUUCGGCGACAGGUUGGUUCUGCGUGACCGCCUCAGGUAAGGUUGAGAUUGACAAUGUACUUGGGAUCAAGACCUGAACCUGCUCCUGGUAGUGUAGCCGAGCAUCCCUCGUGUCGAGAUAAGCAUCCAGACGGGCAAUACGUGCGAUUUCAUCGGUCGUAAGGCCGAAGAGAGAGAAACUGCUGAAAAUACUUCAAAGUGAUAUCGCAAAUAUUGAAGGUCCUCCAGCGAGAAAGGAAGGUCGGCUGCAUUGAUAUCGGUGUAUGGGUCGACUUCAAAUCCAAGGACACGAGCUUCUCGGAUGUGCUGGAACCUUGCUUUCAAUCCUGGAUCUGAGGUCUUCUGGAUGAUCCGCUCAGCAUCCGGACAAGUCAGGACCAGAUCAAUGGUGUCCUGGCAUGCCUUCGGCAAACCAUACAGAUCGUUGGCCGAAUGUUUCUUAUGAAAUUCUCUCAUAUACUCCAAAGACUCCCCAAGGAACGGGGGAUGCAAAUUCCGUCGAAUUUUGACCAAAGGUUCUGGUAUAGCCGGCGGGUAUAAUUUGCUUUCGGCCUCUUGCCUGAAAUGUUCAAGGCGUGCCUUCAUCUCCCCUGGUCGAAUGAGAAGUUUGAUCCGUUUAUCAGCUUCUUCAAACAUGGUCUCGACAUCUUGAUCGACCAGCCGUUUCCCCUGAGCCAACUCUGUCAUAAUUGCUGGAGGUGGUCGCUCAUCAUCAGUGGCAGCUGUGUCCUUUGGCCGCCACUUAGGGACCGAAGUUUCCUGGGCUGCUCAUCGGCGAGCCAUGCAAUCUAUCCGUUGAUGCCGGCGUUUCUGAGAUUUGGACAACGCGGUGUAGACGCCCUUCGAAGAAUGGUAUGUAUACCAACGUUGAUCUCUAGGCUCGGGAGGCUUGAAGGUCUUUUGGCUCCGCGAUGAUUCUGAACUGCUAGAAUUAUGCUUAUAGUAAUCAUCGUCAUAGAAUGAAGUAUCAAAAUCGAGGCGCCGCCUGACCGGGGGUGUCUCUUCCAUCCGUACUUUAGGACCGAGCCUCUCAAAAACCCCAUGAUGUUGGCCUUCAUUGGCUACCUUUGGCCGAGUUGUGGCCACAAGUUGCGAAGAGGGCUUCUCCUCUGGUUCACUGUCGACCUUCGCUCUACAUUUCCCGCACAAAACUGCCGCCCCACUAUCUUCAUCGGUGCUAUAAUCCAUCAUAGGUUUGACAAUAGCAGGCCCCGUUAAAGUCGUAGGUGGCUUGUUUGAACGAAAAUCGGCCAUGAACCGUGGCCGACAAUUCUGACUCCGCGGGCGUUGCGUCUCAACCACUUCGGCCUUGCCUUUCCCUUUGUCCUUGGGUAGGUACGCGUCGACCAUAUUUACUGUUGCCGUGGGGAACGGAUCAGUAUCAACACGCAUCCUCUUCUCAGGAAACUUCAGUUUGCCAUUAUCAAUCCAGCUUUGGACGUUAUCACGAAAUACAACGCAAUUGUUUGUCCUAUGUUUGCUCGAAUUUUGGUAUUUGCAAUACACCUUUCCUUUAAGUUCUUCGGCCUUAGGAAUGUUAUGACCAGGCCGAAGCUUGAUGAUUCUUGCUGAUAACAGUUGGUCAAAAAUUGCGUCAGCCUUGGUAAUAUCAAAAGUAUAAACCUUUGACGGUUUCAAUGUUCCUUCAGUGGCCGAGCGACUUUUGGCUUCUCUAGAAUCAACCUGAGUCAAUGCCUUGCAAACGUAUGGCUUAUCUAUCACUAUCUCAGCCGCAUCCACACUAACGCAUUCAUCCUCGGUUGAUGCAUAAUUGACAGUAGGGUUCUUGUAAAUCGUUCCCCGAGUUGGAGUCUUCGAAGUCUUUUCCUCGCGGAGCAAAUAAUCAUACUGCUCGACAUGUUGAGCUAAUUCGUACAUAUCCCGAAAAUUUGCCCCCAAGAAUUUCUUUUUGUAUUCGACGUCGAGGCCGUUCAAAGCAAGCCUGACAAAUUCGACUUCGGGUAAAGGCACUCGGCACCAAUUCCUAGCUGAUUUAAACCUAGUAAGAUAAUCCAUUGGUGACUCAUCAGAUGCCUGAGCCAUCCGUGCCAAUGAAGAGACUGACAUCUCCAUCCCCGGCCGAUAAAACUGCUCGUGGAACUUCUCGACCAACUCCUCCCAGUUUUGGACGGAAUUAGGAGGGAGAUUGAUGUACCAGGUAAAUGCCGAGCCGGUCAAUGAAAAAUUGAACAGCCGUAACUUGUGGAAAUCACUAUUAACAUCUCCGCAUUGCGCGGUGAAACGAGCCACGUGCUCCAACGAAGACAAGGACGAUUCACCGGCAAAAAGACUAAAAUCUGGGAUCUUGAAACCCUUCGGGUAUCCAAACGUUUCCACGUAAGCUGGGUACGGAUGAAUAAACUUGGGAAACUUCGGCCCUUUCUUCAUGGCCGAGUCGAUCAUCCGCUGAACUUCGGUCAUAUCAACAGGUGUUGCUUCGAUCCUCUGGUCGGUUCCGUCUGACCUACUAUUCGACCCUCCUCCUUUUUCCAAGUUAAUUGGUUUGAGCGGAACAGGAAUAGGCUCGGCCGGUACAAUCGGUACCGGGUUGUUUCCUGGUGGACAAUGUUGGAGAAGCUCGAAAGGCCUGCUGCCACCAACUUUACUAACCAGCAUUUCGAGCAACCUGGUUUGUCGGUCAUUGGAACUAAGUAUCGCGUCAUGCAGCUUGUCAAUGCCUUGACUGAACGUCUGCUCGACUGACCGAGAUUGCUCGUCUAGUCGCUUUCGGAGAAACGACCUCGUUGGUGGGUCAGAUCCUUCACCACCAUCCUCGUCACACUCCUCUACUAUCCCUUCAUUGAGAACGCAUGUGUUCCUGUUAGGGAUCUCUGAACCACGGAGUUGACCGCCGAGAUUAACUUCUCUCUCUCGGCGAGUCGCGCUCGUGGACUCAGGCGUACCAGCCCUAAGGGGAUUCUGCGCCUGUGGCACACCAUGUCCUAUGCUCUGACUCGGCAAAUCGGCUGUCGACUUUCCCAUAGCUGUUUUCUUUUUUACCGAUCGUGUUUCAAUUGGCAUGAACUUCGUAGUUUAGCACUGGGUCCUACCGGGCGUGCCAAAAUGUUGACCCUAGAAACUACAAAGCCUACGUGGCGCGCAGGCCGAGUAAUUAAUGAGCUAACUACGUCCUUCGGUGAAUGCGGGGAGUGCCAACUCGUCGGCCGAGCUCGGCCGAGGAGUAAAUUUGUUGAUGUUGCGUUAGGUCGCGCUACUGACUUCUGCGUCUUGCGAUUGCGGCCGAGAAAGGAACACGUCUCGGCCUCUUGGGCUCUCGAACCUGAAGACAAGGUUACUAUUUUUACGAAGCUCAAUAUCAAAUUCGGCUUUCAACGUGCCGAAUGUAGUCACUUGUAACACCUCACUUCGCCGAGAAGGCUGAUGAGAUGACCUCGACCAACAAGGAUUCAGAAAUCCUUCUCGACCGAGACUUGGAUAGAUAAUCAAUCGUUCUCGCCGCAGUGCUGUUGAUGCCAACGGAAGAUACUGCGAGACCGACUGAUUCUACGGUGACAGAGCUAUCUAUGCCGACUUAAGAUAUCACCGGUUGCUUCCACAGUGCUGUUGAUGCCAACGGAAGAUGUGUCAGCGAAAAAGGAAAAAGAAAAAAUCACAAGUUGUGAGAAUUUGCGCAGGGCAAUUUUGUAUUGAUUUGCAGGGGGCUUGGGGGGGCUUGGGAUGAUGUGCAACCUCUUCUAUUUAUAGCAAUGGCUCCCCCCAAGGUCGAGUUAAAAACCUACUCGGACUAGGUUUCCUUUCCCUGAUCAGCAUCAACUCGACCAGUCCUACCUUCACUAGGACUGUGAACCUAGUCCUUUACCUGAACCGGAUCCGCUUCCGGGUCCUGCCGAGACUCCUUAUUGCACUAGGAUUCGACCUCUUGCGUUAUGACCUAGCCGACCUAGGUUUGGAGGCCCACGUACUGAACGAUCCGUGGUAUUCUUGCCGCAAGGCCUCCCGGGCCGAGAAUGACCCUACACUCGGCCCAAACUGUUAUUUUGGGCCCAAACAGCUAUGAAUGAGAAGCUUUCCAAAGUAGAUGGAAGUGAUCUGGCAGAUGAGACUUUGUAUAGGCAAAUGGUGGGAAGUUUGCUAUAUUUGACAUCAACAAGGCCAGAUAUCAUGUUUGCAGCAAGCCUAUUAGCUAGGUUCAUACACAAUCCUACCAAGAAGCAUAUGGGGACAGCUAAGAGAGUUUUGAGAUACAUACAAGGCACUGUGAACUAUGGAGUUACUUAUGAGAAGGAAAAUGAGCAGUGUUGGUUGGUUACUGUGAUAGUGAUUGGAGUGGAAGUGAAGAUGACAUGAGGAGUACAUCUGGCUAUGCAUUUAAUCUCGGUUCGGGUGUGUUCUCUUGGGCCUCAAUCAAACAAAGCAAUGUUGCUCUUUCAACCGCAGAGGCAAAAUACAUCAGUACAGUAGAAGCCACUGCACAUGCCAUUUGGCUAAGAUUUGUACUAUCUGAUUUCGGGGAAGAACAAGCAGAACCAACUCAGUUGUUGUGUGAUAAUACUUCAGCAAUUGCCAUAUCAAAGAAUCUAGUACAUCAUCACAAAACUAGACACAUUAAUCGAAAUUUUCAUUUCAUCCGAGAUGCACUUCAAGAUGGUGAGAUUGAUCUGGUAUACUGCAAGACUGAAGAACAGGUUGUAGAUAUAUUCACUAAAGCUUUGGCAAUGGAUCGAUUUGAAUUUCUGAGGACAGCUUUGGGAGUGAUUUCAGCACAUCACUUAGAAGGGAGUGUUAGUUUAUAAGUGUAUAUCUGAAAUGUAAUAAGAAUUCAGUUUUAAAUGUCAGCCUUUGGAUCAUAGUCCAAGUGUGCAGCUAAUAUGUAAUCUUAGAGUAAGUGAUAGUUUAUGCCAUGUGUCAUUACCUUAUAGGGUAAAUGAAUGAAUGGCUAGAUUUAAAUGAUGUGAUGAAGAAAUAUUCUAUCCCUAAUUGCUACAUGUGCUCAGUGUGCGUGUGAAUGAAAAGAUCAUCUCAGUUUUGCUUCUUCUUCAAGCUCUAGCUUUCUCGCUCUAAAAUUUCCACUUUCUCUCUCUUAAAACUCUUAAUCUCCAGUAUUCAUAGAUUGUUGAUUGGAAGAAACUUACAUACAAGAUAAUAGUUUAUAUGCUAACAACCCGGCUCGAUUGAAACGGGCCGGUUCGGGUGGGUCCACAGGUCAUUGGUUUUUUUUUUUUGUUAUAUUAAAAAAAAGGCAGAGAAUAAUGUAUAGAUGCAUAGUCAGAUAUCUAUUAAUUAUAUAGAUAUUAUUAAUGAGAAUAAUAUAUUUCCUUUUAUGUUUCUAUUAGGAAUCAGGAUAUACAAAUGCAUAGUCAAAUAUCUAUUAUAAUCCUAACAAAAAUAAAGGCAGAGAAUACACAACCAGGUUUAUGCAACAUGGAUGCCUUUAUUUUAGACAGAAGGUAAUGAGGGGGUAAAACAAUAAAAACAAAGGCAGAGAAUAUAAAACCAGGUUUACAGUCCAAAUAAACUACUAGGAACUAGGUAAUAAACUUGAGAACAGGACUACAUCCCUGCAAACCACAAAAAAAAACGAACAAAAGUAUUAACCACGUCUACUACUAUCAAAGAAAGCUAGGAUAAAAAUUAAUGGACUAUUGAGAGAAAAAGAGAGACUUGGUCCAAAGCAUCACGAGUUCUAGAUUCUGACACUCCCAUCCAGAGAACAAUUAAGCCAUGAAGGACAUACUGUAUUCUAGAUUUUGACACUCCCAUCCAUGUUACCAAAACAUUUUCAUCCCCCCAAACAAUUCAUAACACAUGCAACAAACAAAAAUUAAAGUAUGCAUUAGCCAUCUUUCUCAGCAUAUCUACCACCACUAAUCCAUUUUUCAUUCAACAAACAAAACUCAAAGUAUGCAUUAACCAUGUCAACGACUCGAUAUAGAGAGAUUCAAACUUAAUGAAAGCCAUUUCUCAUAAUAAGUUCUAACAAAGUUUUAAAAGAAAUGGCACAAGAUCUAAAUGACCGAAAUGACUUGACGCUCCGUUGUCUCGAUUCCCAAUCUACUUGAUCUUCUUCUUUGGCCUCAGCUGCAUUAAUAAAAGAUAACAUGAAUAAAGAACAAAACUAAAACAGUAAAGGUUGAGAAUGUAGGAUUAAACAGAGAUCGAUAUUCAAUCAGCUAUAUGAAAUAUCUGGUUGUUGUGUCCACACUUCUUCUUCCUGCAGUUAACCUCAUGGAGGUGCAGGCAGGCAUGACACCUGUUCACGAGCAUUUAUAUAUGUGAGAUACAAUGAGAAUCAAAGAAAAGCAAAAGAACUCUCAAACUAAAGAAAGUAAGACACUCAAUCAAGUCAGACGAAUGGUUUCGGUGUAAAUAUAAAUCAAACUUCUUAAACUAAAUCCACUAUGACAUUGGGAUUUGGCAAUGUAAGUACUCAUCCACAUUAUCUUUUCUAAAUCCAGAUCCUUUUAUAUAAAAAAAACACAUAAAUUUGUCUCAGAAGCAAACAGAUUAAUCAUCGAUCAUCAAUCUACUGCAAAAUUAAGUUAAUUAACUCUAGUAACCUAGUUCGAAAACCACAAACAUUCUCGACCCUCUGGGUUCUCAGAAGCAAAAAGAUCAAUCAUCAAUUCAAUCAUCAAUCUACUGCAAAAUUAACUCUAGUAAUCUACUUCAAUCAUCAAUCACCAAUUCAAUUCAAUCAUCAUUCAUCAAUUCAUUUAUCAAUCUACAAAUUUUAAUUUAAAAACCCUAAAAUCUUUGCACGCGAAAUCCAAAUUAAUAACAAAACCCUAUAUCAAAAUUACCUAAAUUUUAGAAGGAUGAUGGCUGGUAGCAGCGCCCUUUACGGCAGUGAUGGGGUGAUGGUGGCCGCGACGGCGGUGGUGUUGUCGAAAAUGAGAUAAUUGAGCCGUGGUUUUGGGACAUGUGUUCUCUGGGAUGUCGUCGUGGAGGAUGAUUGGAUGGGUGGUGUCAUUGUCGGUCGCGACAGCGGUGAGGCUGGAUGGGUGAUGUCGUCAAGAAGACGAUGAAGUUCAAGGGAGGGAGUGAGUGAUUGUCUGAAACUGGAAGUGGAAACCUAGACACACGGGACAUCGACUAGGGUAGAAUUAACACUUGAGAUUGGAUGGUAGGAUAUCAUUUAAUCUCGACCGUUCAUUAUUAUUAGAAACGGGUCGGUUUGGGGCCCCAUUUUUCUAAGGAUUAGAACUCGACCCACUCCGUAUUUCCCAGCGCCCCAUUCCGGCCUGUUUACUCUCUACAAUAUAUGUACCUGCCCCGAGUUGGCAUUACCCGCCUCGACCCGUAGGUCCAGGGACCGUUUGCCCAGCCCUAACACCAUCCAUCUCCUUAAGUUAACUUUCAGAUGCCACUGUUUAACUAAAGAUAAACAAAAAACGAAUAAGCAGAUACAAAGACAACCUAUCUGAUAAAGUAUGGGGGAAUUCUAUUCAACCACAUUAACGGAAAGCAGCAGUCCAUUCCACCAAAGAUAUCAGAGAUGAAGGGGAAACAAAGGGAUCAAGAGAGCUAAAGUGAGAUCAGUGAGAUUCGGAGGAGACAAGAGGUGGAGCUCGCGACAUGUGAGAGAGAAAACGAGCUCAAAUUCUCUCUCACAUGUCGUGACUCGUGAGAGCGAGUCGUAUAGCUCGUUAUCUGGCUGGCACUUAUAUGAUGUUAUGUUUUGAUUCAAAAUUCUAUUUACGUUACUAACAUAUAUUCAUUCAUUGUUGGUAAGUAUUGUAUUUACAUUGCCUCAUAAUAAGGGCCUACUAUGUGACGACUCGUCCCUAGAUUAUAUAUGUAAUUUCUUCCCGACUAUGUAAAUUAUCUAUUAUGCCCUUGUAGGCAAGUGACGUGGACGUAUUUAUAUCGCUUUUAUUUUAUUUCUCGUUAUUGCAUUUAAAUUAUACAUGUUGUUACGAGUGUACGAGAAUUUCUACCAGUGUAAAAACACUAUUUUGGAUAGAUUUUGAUUCUCUUUUCUAUAAGAAAUCUAAAACCUAUCCCUAGCUUCCUAUUUAUCCAACCCCUGCCCUUUCCCCUUUUUCUUCACUCACCAAUCAACUCCCUCAAAUCUCUCACCAAUCCUAAUCUCUCCCACUACACGGCAACCAACCAAGAAAGCAAAAAAAUCAGAAAAAGAAAAUAUCUCUCAAUUCCUUAUCUCUCUCUGCCGUAUACUCUCUCCCUUUGCAACCACCAUAAACGGACCUCAAAGCUUGCAAAUCGAACCUAAAAACCACUUCUUUGUGCUCAUCUCACCUCCACGAGCACAACCAUACCUUUAAAACCUUGAAUGGAUGAGUUUUCAACGUCGAACUUGUGAGGUCCAAACUCAAUGUUUUGAGUUCCACAUGGUUGUGACCGAGUUACAAGCUCUAAGGAACUUUAAAGGCUUCUAUUCAACUCCACGAGGUCCUUAGUGAAGUUUUGGUGAAGAAACAACAUCGAAACAACCGAGUUUCAAGGAGUUCACUUUUGGCCGGAGGUUUCAAGGUGUUUUUCGACCACCUCCAUCCACUUUUUGGACUCCAAACAGGUAUAACGUGAUUCCACUCUUCAUGAGCUUCAAAUCCAUAUAAAGUAGGUCGAAAAUAGUUGAAAAAUGAAGAAGUUAUGCAAGUUUGAAAUUUUUCCAGAAAUCCGGCAAAGUUUGAGUUUUAGACGACGACGGACGGCAAGGCUUGCCGGAGAAGGAGACGGAAUAUUCUGUCAAAGUUGAUGGAAUAUUCUAAUGGUGUCAGGUAACGCCGUUAAGUUCUGUUAUUUAUUUAACGGAAUAUUCCGUCAAACUGACGGAAUAUUCCUGACGGACGUUAGGGGCUCACCUGCGCAUGAGGGAGCAUAUGGACGUGCCUUGGCCGGCACGUGAGGGGUCCAAAAUUUUAUCUAAAAUUUUGUGUAGGUUUGUGACGUCGAGUAAAUUGAUUUCAAGUAUUUAAACCCUAGGUUUGAGCAAACUAUGGGGGUUUUAUUUAGGUUUCCAUACAUGUGCUUUAAUUAAUUCUACUAUAGUUAUUUCACAUAUAGGGGAAACGUAUCCCGAGGACAUACGGGGCCAAGCUAGACUCGGUGGCUACGACCAUGCGACGUACUUGUGAAUGGGCAGUUUGUUUUAUACCUAUACAUAAUUAUAGUUUCCAUAAAUGCGUAUUUACUUCAUUUUUAUGCUUAUAUUGCCUAGUAUUAUUAUUGUGAUAUGAAUGGUGAUAAAUUCUGCUAUAUGGUUGGGAUAUUAUUGUCAUGACAUUCAUACAUAUCUGUACAUGCUCAUCUUGUUGCACCGGUGUUAGUACUCGUCGGCCAGUCCUUCACGUGUAUGUUCACAUCGCACCAUUCGCUCGUCUUAGAUCCAAGUUAGGUGCUAGUCCUGUCGGGCAGAUUGCAUUAGGCAAUCCGACUUAUAUGUGACCGUGCUUCUGCAUCAGCCUUCACGUGAUCGUAGUACUAGAGUGUAUUGAUUACACCCAGUCCUGUUCGUAUCAUAAGUUAUCUAUUCAAACUCGUGUGUUAGCUUAGAUGGAUGAGCACUUAGCUAUACUUGCUUUUCACAUGAUUAUAUUACUAUGACAUUUGAUAUAUCAUGACUUGGCAUAUUUCUGGUUAUAAUGUUGUUGUAUUAUUGUUUAUUUACUUACGUGGUAUGUUUUAAGGAAACUAUACUUAUUUUACGGCGAGGGGUUAAUAUAUUCGAAAAUAAAGGUCUUCUUAUAAGCGUUGUUUUGCUGACUUAAUCAACUUUGUUUUUCGCCCCUCCAAGACCUAGAUAGCUGAUUUCUUCAUGGCACUCAAGGAACCUUUGGCAAUUCUGACAUUAUCUUCAGUUUAGACGUACGAACUUAUCACUGUUGUGUAAUAAGUGUACUUUAGCUGCUUUGACUACUCUUUGGUAAUCGUACUGUCUUUUAAGCUUUGAAUAAUUGCAGUGGGUUAUUCCCACGAUUGCGCACUCUUUCACUGUUUAGUAUAAUUAGUUCUAAUUAAUUUUAAAUUUAUUCACUUUUUCACAUCACUUACCUUUAUGAUUACGUCACCUCACGAUGAUGGCCAGCUUGCUUCGACCAUCCUAGGUCGGGGUGUGUCAUACUGUGUAUUCUAGAUAAUUUUUAUAUUAAAGAUUUCAAAUGAAGAGCCUAAAGUUCAAAAUAUGUACUCGACACCAAUACAUUGUGUUCUAGAUAAUUUUGAUACAAAUUGCCUUAUUGAGUAAUUUCGUUAGUUCCAACCAAAAUUAUACUGUUGCAACAUGCUCUUGAAACAAUUGACAUUGUAUAUCUAUACUACUAUAUAAAGCUAGUAGCCCCAUUUGGGGUCAUGGCUUCACCAAAAAUGCCCUCAAACAAAAAAAUUCAAAAGCAGCCCAAAAUAAUGUAUCAAAUAAUGCAGGGUAUUUUCGUCAUAUAAACAGUUUUUUUUUUUAUAAUUAAUUUUUUUGUGUAGUUUGUUUAUUUAUUUUUAACUAAAUCUCACAAUUGGUUAGCAAUAAUGUGAUUCAAUAAGUUGUUUAUUAAAUAUUAUUUUCUCUAUUUUUAAACACGUUCAAAAUAUCUUAAGAGGCGUAAUGCCAGUUAUUAAAAAAGUAUUUCAAACGAGCAUAAUAAUGUGAUUUAAUUAGUUGUCAAAUGAUUUUUUUAACAAACGAUAUUAUCUAAACUAAGCAGGAGGGGGGUGGGCUUAACCUCACAAUGAGCUAGCAAUAAUGUGAUUCGUAACACGUCGUGAUUCAAAAAAUGUCUUUUGCACGCGCUUAAGGACUUAGUCUUACAAUAAGCUAACAAUAAUAUGAUUUGUAGCACACCGUGAUUCAAAAAUUGUCUUUUGCAUGCGCACAAGUGCGUGCAUUGAGGCUGGUAUUAUCAACCAUGGAAUUUAAACUAGCCCUAGUUUAUUUUGAAUCUUAGAUAUUAUUUUGUAUAUUUGUUCCUUGCAGAAAAAUUCUCUAAUUUCUCCUCCAUUUUCUUUCUUUGUCUUUUUCUAUUCUCUCUUAUUUCGUAGUUUAUUUAACAAAACUUCAAUUUUAAGUUGUAUAUUUUUUUUUUGUCCAAAGGUCUAGUUCCCAUGUAUGCUUCCUACCAACUAAGAGAGUAGCAGAAACACGCAUUGCACAUUCGUAGAAGAUUUCAAAUCCAAAUCAAAUAUUAAACAUAUAAUAUAUGCCAACUAACUAAUCAUUUAAAAACAGUCCAAAAUUCAAGCUCAGGUAGGCUUGCACUGUAUUGCAAGACUUCUGCAGACCUUCCAUCUCUUAUUUAAAUAACAAUACUAAUAAACUGGCCAGCUGUCACUCAGUACUACAGUCUGAUGAUAUUUUUCUUCAUUUGUAAGUGAGAGGUCUUAUAUCCAAUCUCAUGAAUGGCAAAUUCGAUACCAAAUUAGGUUGCCUAUGUGUGGCUUAACCGAACUCCCACUCUCUCUUAAUGUAAAACAUAUCGUUGUACUAAAAAAAAAGACCAUAUAUAUAUACUCUUUAAAUGUACGAUAUUGGAAAGUGAUGAUUUUGAACGGAAAGCAAUUUGGAUGUAGUACCAUGGGCCAACCAUACAUUAAUAUCAAACUAAUCAUUUAUGUGAAGUGAAUUCGACAAAUUUUCUGUUAAAAUGUGCUCUAAUCGUGCCUAGCUGAGCAGGGAAUUCUCUCAUAUCUUCGAUUGAGCAUACAAGCAUAAGCGACUGCAGUUUUUAACUACAUAGCUAAUCAGGGUUAGUUUUGUUAGGCUAGACUAGACACAUUCGCGCUUUUUUUUACUUGGACGUUGAGCAAAGAAUACAACCCCGAAUCUCUUUUUAAGAGACUGUAAAAGAGGUUAGGACGUCCAAUGUACCUACAUAUAAAGAAAGACUAGCUGUAGACCAUAAUAUUAAUAAUUUUUUAUUAUAAUUUUUUUUUAACAAACGAUAUUAUCUACAUUAAGAGGGUGAGGGAGUGAACUAAGUCUCACAAUGGGCUAAUAAUAAUGUGGUUCAAAUUCCCCUUUGAUAAUAAUCAAAUUUAAAGUCUCUCACUUACAAGUGAAGAAGAAUAUCACUAGACCUAGUAUUAAUAACAAUCAUAAAUAUUUGACACUUACAUUUUAAAAAUGAUGGGGUGCCAUGUGUCAAUACCUUAAUGUUAAAUAUCUAAAAGCAAUCUAUCUUGCUACUUAGUACUAAGGUUUGAUGAUAUUCUUAUUUACUUAUAAGUGUGAGGUUUUUGGUUCGAAUUUUAUAGAUGGUGAAUUCAAUACCAAAUUAGGUGCACAUUGUGUGGCUUAGCCGAACUUCCCCUCCCCUUAGUGUUGAAUAUAUCAUUGUACUAAGAAAACCAAUCUAUCUUAUGGCAAUUCCACUUGGAAGUUUAUUUUUAGGAAAACUAAUGAAAAGGGCUUGAAAACUUUGAGUUUUAACGAUAAGGACAAAAUAAAAGGUAAAGUGAAUUGUAGCAUGUUUGACUUUUUAGUGUAAAAAUGUGGUUUUUCAUUAAAGUGAACAGUACCGUGAGCUUUUCGUUAAAACUCCCUUUAUUUUUAAGCCAUACUGGAUUAAUCAUCCCGGUGAUUAUAAGAUACCCUAAUGAUGACUCCCUAUGAUAAAAAGAUUAGGAAUUAAACUCAUGUGAUGACGAUCAUUAGCAAAUUUAGCCUAAAAGGCUAGUGAAAAAAUAUUAUACAUGCGAGUAGCCAUAGUAGCACUUUUUAUGACAGCCAAGUGAGCAUCAAAAUAUACAUCACAGUUUAGAUGCAUCUACGUUGUCAAUACAUUAAAACCUCGUUUGUCAGAGAAAAUUGAUUUGAAUAUGACUAUUCACUAUAUUGAAGGAAUUUGAUGGAAGAAAUGAAUGUCAACUUUCUUAUUUUGUCGAAGUUGAAAGAUAGUUAUGAGGUAAAAUAUCCCUUCUAAUUGCUACUAAAGUGGUAGGAUUAGAAGAGACAAUUUUGCUUCAUGAGUAAUCUUAACUUUAACAAAAUAAGAAAGUUGUCAUUUAUUUUUUCUUUCAAAAUAACUUCAAUAUAUUAAAUUAAUCCAAGUCAAUCAUCCUUGUCAAACGAUGCAACAUUCUAGAUUCACUCGUACUCGUGCACUUGGACCACUGAAAUUAGAAUUAGAAAUAGAAUUCUUCUUUAGACGUCUCAAAUGACGUGACAAUUACGUAUUUAUGUCACUUCCUUUUUGAAUGGAUGCAAUUGAUGUAACAUCUGCACAACAAGAUUCUUUGUCCAAUAUUAGUCACCAAAUGAGAAACAUCCUAGCAAAUUUCAAGUUUGUUCAUUUACCAAACAAAAGAAGAAAAAAGAUAUCAAAUUGCUCAGCAUAUUUAAAAGCAUCUGAAGUGCAUUGCGUAGGAAUUCCGAAGUAUUGAUUCUUUACUGGAUAAGGAAAAAUCAAAGUGGAAGUUUGCAAGUUAAGAUUCCUUACCCAAAUUGCCAUCCCUUUGUUUGUAUAUUGCUGCAUAGGACGAUAAUACGCAAAAGUAUGGCAUGUUCAAGUUAAGUUUCGCAAGGAAUCUUUUAAACAAAUUUGUGAGGUUGGUGAUAUCCAAACACAUCUUUACCUUUUACAUAUUUCCUAUUAAUUUCUGUCAUUUGAUUUUCUUAAAUUUAUUUGGUUAGAUGACCGAAAUGAGAUAUGUGUGUGUAUAGCACCACCCAUUUGUAAUUGCAUAAAUAUUCCUCAAUACUAAAAACAAUUUACAUGAAACGAUCGUUUUGUUCCGAUCUAAUAAUGUACUGUCAUGUAGAGAAACAACUAUAACGGUAAAAUUGUUCCAUAUAAAUCAUUGUCACCAACAUGGCAAAAGUUUAGUGACAUCAUUUUCAAGUAACUCUAAUGCUAUAUAUGUAUCAUGGAAUCACAUCAAUGAAAGUGUCAUCUUGACAUAAAGCAUGUGAUGUUUUCAUACGGUCUAAUUAGAAAUAAGAGAGUAUUGAGGUUCUAUCGCACAUUGUAUAUAAAUAUAAGCUCACCAAUAACUAGGGGAGGGGUGUGUUUAGCCUCGCAAUAGGCUAGUAAUAAUGUAGUUCAAAUUCUCUUUUGGCGAGAAUCAAAUUUAAGACAUUUCACUUAUAGUGAAGAAGAAUACUAUUAAACCGUAGUACUAAGUGACCAUCUAAAACUCUAUAGAUGGUUUAUAUUGUUUUCUUACAAAAUAUUUUGCGUUCUGUUUACCUAACAAGCAAACUCCUUAGCUAGAUAUGAGGCAUUAAGGUAAUUCUAAUUCUUUUGAAGUUCAAAGUAGUCAGUUUCAACUGACCUAGUUUAAAUAGGAGGCAUAUUCUCUACUCUCCCACAUCUCGUGCCCUCCUGUUUUGUGUGGUCACGGUUAAAUCACGUCAAUCUUUUAUAUUAUUUUUUUAUAGAGAUAAUAAGACAAAAAUAAAUAGUAAUAUAAAAUGUUAACGCUGCUUAACCGUAAUCACACAAACACAAAGACAUAGGAGGACACGAGAAGUGAGAGGGACAUUUGUUAAAGUUAAACAGUAUUUUGGAGGAAAUAAGUUCGAUUCCGAUUAUGAAAGCUUACUUCAAAUAAAAGUUAACAUAGAGUUUAUAUGUUAUAAAUACUGAGUUAUGCAUGAAUAAUACCCCUAAUACAAAACCAAAUAAAAACACCUAGAAUCGAGACGCUGCCAUAAUAGUGUAUGAAAUUUAUAGACAAGUUAUUCUCGAUCGAAAGCGAAUAAUAAGACGUGGCGCGGGCGACCCAAAAAAGUUGAACAAGUGGGUACGUACGUAUUGGCUGGCCAUGAAGAACAGAAGAAUUCCUUAGAACAACUCUACCUAUGGAGCCCUUUCCCCUGGCAAUCCACUAUUCAAUCCACCCUAUUGAACAAUAACUGCCUUAAAUGAAUAGUAAUUACCAUUAAUGAACAGUAAUUGCCAUUUACAUCUCCACCCUUGGAACCCUCCCCUGGCAAUAAGCAAUAAAAAUAAUAGUUUUUUAUGUUUGUUUAAAUAAUAAAAAAUUACAAAAACUAUCUCUCUCUCUCUGACAUAAAAAAAAAUAAAAAAUUACAAAACCCUCGGGCCACAGGCCCGUCGACUCCCCACCCCCCUUCGCUCGACCUUCCACCCUCACUCGGACCCUUCCCCGCUGGAUUUGCUCCCACCGGCCCAAGGGCCCUUUCUCCUCGCCUGACGCUCGAGCAACCAGCAAGGCUGGAGUUGCUCUUAACACGGUCCGUGUGUUUAAUCUUCCUAAAAUCAACUUCUUGAACCAUUCGCCAGCAAGUCAAUUCAAACAGAGUCCGAAUCUCCUGCGCCUAAAUUCCACCAGUUGUGUGCUGCCUGGACCCAAUAUUUAAUGCAAUUUUGACUGUUCCACGAAACAGUGGUAAUAAAAAUAUCUGAAAAGUUACCAAAAGAAGACUGGUAGGUAUUUGUAAAAUCAAAAGUCUUCGGAUGGAUAGGCAUUCCCACUCAUCUCUUACGCACCCCACCCACAUGCCUAAGAUUUAGGAAACGAUGCUCCCUCGACGGCUCUCCUUGCUUCCGCGUCGCUUCUUUCACAAAUGACUUUUGGUGUUUUACUGUUUACUAAUAUGAAAUGUUGUUGUCACUUAGUACUACGAUUUAUUAAUAUUCUUUUUUAUUUGUAAGUAAGAAGUCUUAAAUUUAAUUAUCGCUAAAUGCGAAUUUGAAUUACAUUAUCACUCAUGGUUUAGUGAAAUGAAAAUGAAAAUUAAAUGGCACUUAUAAAUUUACAAUCACUUGUCAUGCUAUUUAGUAUAUAAAAAUAUGCAUCAAUCAUUUUAGUAAAAUUUUUGUUAAAUAAGGGUCAAAAGAAUCAAAAUACAUUCAAUUUAAUAAGCAAUAGGCCAAAAUAAUUUGACAAAAAUUAAAGGUAUUUUUGUCACUUUUUCUUAUUUAAUGGAUUUUUUUGCGAAGUGACUAAAAUAAUUAAUGGCGGACAACCUUAAAGACCAUUUUUAUCGAUUUCAAAUCUCAAUGGCUAAAAUGAAGAGUUAUGCAAAUCUUAAGGACUAUUUUAACUAAAAUUCUUUUCCUAUCUAAAUGAUAUCGUAUGAGUGAUGUUAACAAUUUUCUCACUUAGACAUUCUCUUCCUGUCAUCUUGUUUCUUUUCUCAAAUUUUCGAUGUUAUUUGAUAACCAAAACUGUCUAUUUUUAGGCUACUUUUCAAUAUCAUGUCUGGAAAAAAAAAAUUCAGAACCAUGUAUGCUACUUGUACUUUGAAUGUUUAUGAUUCUUCUAUCCAUUGAACUUGAAGGCGUGUGAAUAUCCCCUUUCUUACCAUUCCAUUGCUACGGAAAAGGAAAUCAUAUUAAAAUUUAAAAUUAAAUAUAAAUAAUGUUUAACAAAAAUUAAUCGCACGAUGUACGAUGAAUAAUCUUAAUCACAAAAUUCUUAGGAUUAUCAAGAAAAUGAUCCGGUGAUGAUCAUUUUCCCAUUGCUACUAGAAUGGUCCAUCCGAUGACAUGGAAACACAAUUUGUUGCCACAAAAAGCCACACGAGAAUUAGCUUGCUCCGUCAGUUACACCAUCCCAACCCACAUAAAAAGCAAAAUACGUUUUGUUUCAGUGGAGACCACUCACCGUCCGAUUCACGACAUCGCAGCGAACCAAAAAGAAUGCUCCUCACGACCGUUAGGAACACCGUCUCUGUCGGACGGUGGGUCCCGAUAUUCUUCCAAUCACCGCCCGCCACGUAGUACAUAUAUGCCAGCUGGAAACACGUUAAUUUCCGUUGGCCAGAAUAUCCGGAUUCCAUGAGCACCAAAACUUGGGAAUUUUUCACUUUAAUUUUUCGAUUUUUUUGCCCUUUAAAUGGGAAGGCACAAAGAGAGCGGGAACACGUAGAUAUACAGCUGCUUAUUCCUUUCAUCCUCUACUUGAGCGCCCCAUUCACUCGUCCUCCUUUCGCUCUUUCAAUUUUUGAGAUCUGCGCUCUCUUCCUCUUGAAGCUUCCGCUUCAAUCCACCGACCGAUUCGCAGCUCCGAUCCUCCGCCGGUACGUUAUCGCCUCGCUUUCCCCACUCCGUAACCGUCGUUGCGUUCAAUUUACGCUGCAUUUCUCGCUGUUUUUGGCGUCGUUUUGGUCAACUUUAGUGUGCGUUCUAGCUGAUUUUUCGUCGUUUUUGUGGAUCUGGUUUUGUUGUGUUCGAUUUUCCGAGGCCGAACCCGUCGUUUUGGUCAACUUUACUGUGCAUCCAAGCUGAUUUUUGUCUCGUUUUUGUUCUGUUUGUGGAUCUGAUUUUUCCUUUUCGCUACUUGCUGCUCGUACGCGUCUGCUUUCGCUUUAAUUACUGUUAAUGCCAUUAAAAGUUAAUUAUUGUGCUGAAUUUAUCUUAAUUUCUGAGAUUAAUCUUUCAAGUGGUUCAUAGGUAGCAGUGCUAUUUUUCCUAAUUUUUUGAGUAAAGUUAGAGUUACUGUUUGGCAGAUCUAGAUUUAGGUCAAAAAGAUUUCCUUUCCGUUUCUUUUGUUCGGAUUUUACUUUGAAAUAAACGCUUUGCUGACGCGUUUUUUAAAACGUUUUCACAGUCAAUUUUGCGAGGCUAUUUUUGGAUUUAAUUUAUUGGGUUUUGAGCCUCUGGAACAGAAGAGAAAAUAUGCUAUUUCUGGAAAUGUAUUCUCAGUCAAUUUCGUGAGGCUAUUUUUGGAUUUGAACUUUUAGAUUUUAGCCAACUGAAGAGAGAAAAGCUUUUACAAAAUUUUAGAGCUAUUGGUAUCUUUCGAUUUGGUGUGAGACUGUGAGACAAAUUCCAUGAAACAUUAUUGAAAAUUAGUAUUCAAAAUAUUUUGCUUGGUUAAUUAAAUAGCUGAUAGAAUUUGCUAAAUGUAGUUUGGAUUUUGCUGACUUCAUGUGGUGUAUAUAUCUUGUAGAUAUGGCUCCACCGAUUGAGACUGUUCAAAAAGUUCAGCCUCCACAAAAUGCUAUUGAACCCCAUGUCACCUAUCAUCAUGAUCAUUCCUCACAUCCACCUCUAAAUGAGAGGAUACUUUCAUCCAUGACCAGGAGGUCUAUCGCUGCCCACCCGUGGCAUGACCUUGAAAUCGGUAUGCAAUAUCUCCAGCAGCCAUUGUUCGUCGUGCUAGCUUUCUCUAAUUGUUAUUAUAGCCUAUGUCUAACCACUUUACUUUUAUUUUCAUUUCAAUGCAGGACCUGGAGCUCCUAAGAUUUUCAACUGUGUAAGUAUAUUGAAUCAUUGAUGCUUUAGAUUUUUUGAUGAUUUAUCUUCUGCAGUGUUUGCUCUAAUUUUGCAUUCUCAGUACUUAGGUUGAACUUAUAGCGACAAAUAUUGCACUGAAUGACUUCACAGUUGAAAAAAGUUACACAUUAAGAAGUUAUCUUAGAAUUGACCAACCAUCCAGAAUCUAUACAGUCUUCAUAUGUGAUUCUCAUAUUUAAAUAAUCUGCUCCAGAAAAUUAUUGUUAACUUUCUUCUGUGCUUCUCAAAGUUUUCAUUUUCCGUGCGUAAUUUGAAAAUUUGAAUAAAUAUUCAAUAUAUAUUGCACUAAGUAACUAUACAAUUGGAAUAAGUAGUGAAGUCUUCUUAAGUGCGAAUGGAGUCGACCUACUUCAGAAUCUCAUGGCAUUCUUAAAUAUAAAUGUCAUAUUUAAAUAGUGUGCUCCUGAAUAUAGUUUGCACUAUAACAUUACUGUUAACAGAAUUUUCUCUGAAUACUAAGUUUUUAUAUUAUAAUUGUAAUGUUCACGAGACAGAAUUUUCUCUGAAUACUAAGUUUUCAUAUUAUAAUUGUAAUGUUCACGACAAUUAUAGCUCUUAUUAAGAAAGAGUGUUUAAUUACGUAUUGCGAUAUGUAUGUCAACCUACCUGACCAUAGUUCUUGUGGAAACAUGACUAAUAAUCCAGGUUAUCGAAAUUCCAAAAGGAAGCAAAGUGAAAUAUGAGCUUGACAAAAAAACUGGACUCAUCAAGGUAAAUAUCUAAGGCAAGCUAACUUCCUAGUACCUUUAUUCAUUUAAGUAUGAUUGCUGAAGGGUGUUUGUACGUUCAGGUUGACCGCAUACUGUACUCAUCUGUUGUCUACCCCCAUAACUAUGGUUUCAUCCCCCGUACUCUUUGUGAGGAUAAUGACCCCUUGGAUGUCUUGAUUAUUAUGCAGGUAUUUUAUGCUUCGUUUUGUUGCAAGCCAUUUCGGAACUUUAUUUUGUGAAUAUCAAGCAAUGAAACAUGAUUUAUAGCAUGCUAACCUGAAUAUGACAUCAACUUGUUGGGCAUGUACCACCCAUGUCCAAUCAUUCGCUAUGACACAAUCAAUCAUAUGCAUGUCUCAUUAAAUAAUAAUCAUUUAAAAAAAAUUGGGCUUAAUUAGCCAUAUUUGUAAGGAAUCGUGUUUUUGAAAUGUUGUGUUAUAUUUGUAAGUAGCUUUACACAGCUUCCAAAUCCAUUUGGUUUAUUUUAAAGCUGAUGUAUGUAAGUGGAGCCUCAAUCUGAUAUAUUUUGACACUGAAUCAAUCAUAUGCAUGUCUCAUUAAAUAAUAAUCAUAUAAAAAAUUUUGGGCUUAAUUUGCCAUAUUUGUAAGGAAUCGUGUUUUUGAAAAUGUUGCGUUAUAUUUGUAAGUAGCUUUACACAGUUUCCAAAUCCAUUUGGUUUAUUUUAAAGCUGAUGUAUGUAAGUGGAGCCUCAAUCUGAUAUAUUUUGACACUGAAAAUUCUCACAGGAGCCAGUUGUUCCUGGAUGCUUUCUUCGUGCCAAAGCUAUUGGCCUGAUGCCUAUGAUUGACCAGGUAUAUAUAAAGACAUAAAGGGUUAUUAUCUUAAAUUUGUUACAAAAUUCUAACUUUUCAUUAAUCCAGGGUGAGAAAGAUGACAAGAUCAUUGCUGUUUGUGCUGAUGAUCCUGAGUACCGACACUACAAUGACAUCAAGGAGCUCCCACCUCACCGUUUGGCUGAGAUCCGGCGCUUCUUUGAGGACUACAAGAAAAAUGAGAACAAAGAAGUUGCAGUUGAUGACUUUCUCCCUGCAUCUACUGCCUUUGAUGCAAUCCAGCAUUCCAUGUAAGUGUCAAUGCUCUCUGACCUUCACCCACUCAUGCAUGCCCAGACUAUAUGAUUACCUCUUUGUCUGUAAAUUAACCAUCGAUAGUCAUACAAGAAUGUAGAUGUUAGAAAUUAGAAUAGCAUGGAUACAAGUUAUGCAUUGGAAUGAAAAAGAAGUCGGGAAAGUUUUGAAUCACUAGAGUUUUGGUCUGGUUUUGUACAGAACAUUGAUUUGAAUCUCAUUCCUCUGUCCAAAUUUCUUUUGACGUCAACCAGUGUUCAUUCAUUUAAAACAUCAGAUUACUGAAGCGACUGCAUGUGCAUAACAUAACUCAUCCUCGGUCUGAUGUUGCAUUGCCUUGUUUAGUUAUACAAAUGGAGUAUAAUCUUAAUCUCCCAAACUCUUUGUUUCAACAUGAUAGGAACCUCUAUGCGGACUACAUUGUGGAGAGCCUUAGGCGGUAGUUGCAAGUGAUGAAACUUGGUGCUAUCACUACUCUUAUAUAGGGGACGUUAUAUCUUCGUUUCUCUGUAAUGAAAAAAUAACUGAUAUUUUGUUGUUAAUGCACACAUUGUUUAACAAUGUAUGCCUUUAUACUCCGACUCUAGUUGGGAUUGUGUCUUAAACCUUUUAUAUAGUAAUGAUAUCGACGAAAAUGAUAGGGAAAAGGAGAAAGGAAAAUAGUCUGGCUUGAUAUAUUGGUUUAUGCCUUUAUUUUUUCAUUUGGUAUGCGACUCUUGAGGCUGCCCUUUUUGUUUUUGUUGGAGAACCAUGUUUUAUUUACUGUGUGUCAAUGUAAUGGAGCAAUUCUUGUGAACAAUUCACCUUGUAAAAUGCUUAAUUUCAAUAUCAUUUGUUACCAACAAAUUUGAUUAUUUCGAUGAAAUAAUGGGGUCAAAGUAAAGCUUAACUUUUAGCUGAGACUGAGUCUUAACAUUGACCCUUUCAUGUGAUACCAUUUAGUAUCGAACUUGCCAACUGUGCUGGUCGAACUUGAAACUUUUCAUUUACAAGUGAAGCGGAUUGUUGAGAAAUACUACCAGAUGUAAUGUUAGUGGUGGCAAUGUUUCUAACUUAACCACUCGAUUUCAACUUAGAGCGUCUCAUGGAAUGAAUUUACUCGGGGGUGAGAUUUUAUCUCAAAUGACGUUGAUUCUAUUAGCAACGAAAUACCCACUUGUAAUAUGACGUGGGAUCAAGUCUGUCCGCAUCCAUGACUUGUAUCAAGCUACACAACCGCAACUAAUACAUCCAAGCUUCCAACAAACAUGUCAUCCCAGAUAAAACCGUCAAAACUUUAGAAUUAGUACACACCAGUAAUAUAUGACCAUGUCUUCCUUUUCGCCACAACAACUUACUAGCGUUGGUGGAUGCCAACGUGCUUUUGGGGAACCAGUCUCUGAUGCAACCUGCAAUCCAUUACAAAGCUAAACAAAACAAGAUUGACUAACCCGCUAUAUAUAAUGUACGGUAGAUGAUUAAACAUGGAUAUCGGAUUUGAAUGAAUCAGACGAAAACAACGGUCAUGAUUAAACAUGGGUGUAUGAGAGAAAAAAAAACAUGGUACGUGUUUAUCAUUUUCCCAUAAAAGUACAAAACCCUUUACUCUCACCAUACUAAAAAUGUUGGGCAAAUGCAAGAAUUCGACGAAAUAACUGUGUGUGAUUGUCACUGUCAUUGUUGUAUCAUCAAUUCAUAUGUUGCAACACAUAGUUGAAAUGCUAUUAUGUCCGUCCACUUGUUUUAUUAUUAUUAUUUUUCAUUCAUUUUUGUGGGAAGAUAACGCAAACUGAGUGGACUUACAACACUACUUUAUUCUUUAUUGAUGUUAUAUAUAUUAAAUUGUGAAUUUGUCGUCUACUUAAAUCAUAACACAUGAAAUGAUAGAAUCAAAUAUAAAAGUUUGGGCUUGGAACCUAAAUCGUGAACGGGUAAUAGUCAAAACCUUUUGGACUUGGAGGCUUGGGCCUAAUUAAUAUACACAUUCUCAUCAUUGUCACAGCCCACAGGUUGACUUUGUGAUAAACGUCCAGGUCACAGCCACAGUGUACUUAUCAUCGAAUACCACGUGGACCAUCAAAACUACACGUGGCAUAAACCCAUCAUUUUCAAUCGUCAUUUUCUUGACAAAGAUUUUUCAAUGAGACAGGUACAUAGGUGAUACGCUACGUGUCAUUAUACAAAUAAUGAAAUAUGUGUGCUAAAAAGUUAAUAACUUAAAAAAUAAAAUUUUCUACCACUCCUAUUAAAAUACGUGAUGUACUAUUUGUAUUGCCAUUACAACUACAAAUUUCUCAUUUUGUUGGUCGAAUAAUGAAAAAAAAAAAAAAAAAUAUUCCAAUUUCCAAGCUUAAAGCCAUAAACCCAAAACCCCUUUCCUUCCGAAGGGAUCCUAAAACCCUAAUUUUACAAGUCCGAACCCAAAUCCAAACGCAAUGAGCUCCUUCACCAACACCACCAAUUUCGACAACCUCAUGCUCCAAACCCUAAUGGGCAGGCUCCAAAUCCGACCCCCCACCAACAACUCCUUCCUCUCCCAAACCCUCGAGGAUCUUCUCCUCGACGCUGCCAAUCUCUCCGCCGACGACGACGAUGACGACGAGAACAAGACCCAGCUCGCCAAGGAAGAAUCCCGCCUCGAGAAGGAUAUCAUCCGGGUUAUUCUCAGCGGCAAGACAGAUUCCCUCAAGCCCAAUUCGGGUCAGGCCGUCACCAUCGGAGAGCACCACAUUUGCGUGGGGUUUCAUGAGGAAUCGGGUUCGGACUAUCGGGUUUGGGAGUGGCAUGGGCACAUCAUGCUCUUUGAUGAAGAGAACGGGUACACUCCUGAGUAUAUAUAUGGGAAUUACUUUGAGAGGCUGAUUGGUAAGGCUCGUGGAAGUGGUGGCAGCGGAGGUGACAGUGUUCUUGUUGAGGAGGCCAAGGAGGAAGAGGAAGAGGAGGAGGAUAAAGAGAAAGUUACUACUUUGGGGCUCAGGGAGUUGAUUGAUGGCGGGGAUUCGGGUCAGGGUCGAAUUCUUCAUCGGAAUAUCAAUGCGGGUUCUACAAGGUCUAUAUGAAUUACCCCCUUAUUUUUCUUGUGUGUUUUCAUUUGAUGUGCUUGUCUUGCAUUGUUUUCCUUCACAUUUGUUAGUGCUUUGGGUAUUCAAAGUAGUUGUGAUUUGAGAAAUGGAUGGUAUAUUGCAAUGUGAUAACGCGACCUUUUGUGUUGGAACUUAUAUUUUGGUGAGAGUUCGGUGCUGCAUAAAUUGCACUUUUGGCUCUUUACCCUAAUAGUCUAGUUAACUUCUCACAUUGAUGUUCGGAGUGAAAAUAAUCCUUCUUUCGAAUAUUAGAGUAAAGGUUUUAUGCCUACUGUAUUUAGAAAGUCGGCACAUAGGGAAGGACACAUUUAUUUUGUUGUUAGAAUUGGUAAUAAGUUGGAUUUUUAUUGGUUUAAAUUUUAUUGUAAUUUUACUAAAUCAAGUUGGAAACUCAAAAGUAGAUUUCACCUGCAUUGUGAUGAACGUUUACGGUGUAGUUGGAGGACUUUAGCCAUUGGUGACUUUGCUUUCUGAUAGACAAUUCUAGUGAUGAUAAAACGUUUGUGAUAAAAGUGUUCAAGAUGUUGACUUAAAAGCUUAAGAAGUUUCACAUAUCUGCCUGCUAGUUACCAGAUAGGCUGCGAAAAGAAGUGUGGCCAAGCAAUGCCUUGAAUAUUUAGCGGAUUAUCUUGAAAUUGGUAAUAUGAUAUGGCUACUACUACUAGUGGCUAUGAUGUAGGCGGGCAUCUCACAAGGAAGUAGAAUGAUUCUGCUACUGCUCAUACCAUCAAUUCUUCACCUUAUGGGAAGUCAAUAUAAAAUCCCAACAUCAAACAAGGACAUAAAGAUGCUGCUGCUACUUGCUCUUUCCAUCAAUUUGUUCGCAUGUUUGUAGUCUUAACAAUAUCCUACCAGCCUGACUGGUGGACCCUUAUGCUUGUUGAACCAAUAUGGCAUAGGUUGAUUUAACAACGAGGAUUAAAUUUCUCUUGGAAUAGAUUUGUGCUCUGGAUCUAGAGACUAGGAUCUUGUUUCAAGUUGGAUGCUCGUCCCCUAAAUACUGUUUUCUUCUUCCUCUUAUCCGUAAUGGAUUUAUGACUUGAGGGUUUUAUGGAAUCAUGUGAAAAGAGAAAAGAAAGAAAAGAAAAGGAGUUAUAGAAGUUGAGUUUAUUUUUUUUUAGUAAAUUUUAAAUGAUUUUUCUGAAUUCUUUCUCUGAUUCCUUCACCAAGCAUUAUUUAAGUAUUCUCCUAUUAUCUGCAUCUUCAUGUUUCACUGAUGUUUAUGGUAAGUUGUGGUUCAGAGCCUUGAAAUGACGGGAUUUUGAGUAGUACUCUAUAAUCAUGUCUGGCUGUGCUGUAACUUUUAACCUCAGACCUAUAUGUAUAAACCUAAAUAAAUAAAGUUAUGGUAGUAUGUGCUUUUGUGUAUAGGAUCCUGCCGGUUAUGUCAUUCGCAAUGAGCUAUGUGUUUAACCUGAUUAUCCUUCGUCUUGCAAGAUUACCUAAAAGAAAGGCUUUUGGUUGCAUAAGAAGUUUCUAGUGUCAAAGAAGGGGCCUCCUCUAACUUUUCCUUGAUUUGGUACUUGGGGUGGGAAUUCAAGACUGCUUAUCAUUUCACAUGGUUGUAAGCUGUUUAUUUUAUUUUAUUUUUGUUUGAAUUUCCAGUACGUAAGACGGUACAAAAGGAGGAAUGUCUUGUGAGACAUCAUUCCGUUAAAGUAGUUUUUGAUUAGCGCUGCUUAUCACUGCACUAAAAUGGUGCAUCGACUCUUUUAUAUUACUUGGUUGUAAAUUUUAGUUAUGCCUGUAAGCUGGCUAGUACAAGGUGGUUGAUGCAAAUUUGAAAAGACAGAACAAUUGAGUUUCAUACAAGUCAUUCUGGCUCCGAAAGGGUUAUAUUCUUGAUACACUAGCGAUGCUAUUUCUAAUUUAUUGUUUGAGUUACUCAAUAGAGGGAGAAGACUUGCAUGGAACAAGUUCACCGUCGCACUAUGCCCAGGUAGCUGUGCACGGCAAUGCAUUAUGGACGUGGCAGUGAACGCGUUUAAUGUAAGUUGCAUUGUGGUGAUUAAAAUAUUGUCAAAUUUUGGAUUUUGGUGGCAAUUUUGAUGACCUUCCUCAAAGUAAUGACAAAUUUUGUGCCGUUUUCUUCAUCAUUCUUGUAUUCCGAUUCUAGGUUUUUCAAAACCAACGGACCUAGGCACAUAUGAUGUUUAGGAUGGCUGGACAACUUAUAACUUGUUUGGAUGUGCUUUUAAAAUGAUUGAAAGCCCUUUUGGUGAAAAAAGUUUCUGGAAGCAACCCUUAGUAAAAAUGCAAUUAAAUCCUAGAAGGGUUUUUAUCACAAAUGGUUCCUGAAAUUGACAUUGACCAUCAAGAUGGUCUUUGAAAUUGAAAAUCAAUCAAUGUAGUUCUAGAAAAUAGGUGUCGCAAAUCAAUGUAGUAUAUAUGUCAUAAUUAUGUUAAAAAUUCUAUUAAGUACUGAUGUGACACAUAAAUGCGCCACAUAAGUCCCUUUUUUUUUUCUUCUCACAAAUGAUCGUUGAAAUUGACCGCCGACAUCAAAAUGGUCUUUGAAAUUGACACGCGACUUUCAAGGCCCAUCUGGUGAGAGUCAAUUUUAGGGAUCAUUUGUGAAAAAAAAAACCCCAUCUUGGAAAAACACUUAAAAUGCUUCAUGGAAGAAGCACAUAACUAGUGCUUUUGGAACCUAUAAACAUUUUCUCUAAAAGCGCCUUCAGUGAGUUUAAAAGCACAUCCAAACGAGUCCUUACUAAACAAAGGAAAUGUUUAAUGCAAAUAUGGAUUUUGACUUGUAUAUUCUGAUCAAGUGAAGGUAGAAGAUGGAGAAAUUAUGAAUAAACUUUAUCCAUCGUAAUUUCCCCAAUAAUGAUAGGAUUGAAUGGGACAAGUCUUCUUCGUGACUUCUCCAUUUUUACCCUUCACUUAGAUAAGAUAUGCAAAUUAACACCCAUACUUUUAUUCAACAUUUAUUAAAUUUUGUUGAUUGCCAAGCCAAUACUAGACAUCAAAUGUGCCUAGUGUCAUUUGGUUUUGCAACUUUUAAAGCUAUCUUAUUUUAAGAGUAAAAGUUAGUGGCCUUGUUCAAGGUUUAGGGGUGUAUUUAAUUAGGAGUUUACAAUGUCGUUUUUAAGAGGUUUAGUUUCAAAUCUUAUAGAUGAUGAGUUUGCAAUCAAUUUAUUCCUCUACCCAUUUGACACAUCCCGACCGAGACGAGCAUGCUGGCUGUCACGUGAGGGUGCCGUAGCCAUGUGCACUGUGCGGAAGCAACUAAGAUAAGAAAUAUACGAAUAAAUUAAAACCGAAAGCUACUAAUAUGCACUAUUAAACAGGAAGUGCUAGGAGUGAAAUACAAGUGUAAAUACUCCUAUUUAGAGCAUAGAAGGUCUAAGUGUAUAGUACCAUAAGAUGUCCUACAAUUAAUUUAAUAGGUCAGAAUCGUCGGAAUCCUCAUACGCCACCAACAGCAGUCUACCUAAAACCUGGAGGGGCGCAAAAUAGAAAAGUGAGUGGGCAAAAACAAAUGUUUUACAAAACCAUUUCAUUUCUCAACAUUUCUAACCCUUAGCCGUAAAAUAUGUAUAAUUUCCCAGAAAUAGAAUAUAAGCAUAUACAUAAAUAUAUAUGUAAAUAUAUCAAUUCAAAUCAUGCUUCACAAUAUCAUUUUCAUAUGUAUGCCAUGCCAAGAUAUCACACAGUAAGUAAUUCAGAUGAGAAUAAAUUCAUGGAAUUAUAAUAUAUUAGCCGAAACCCUUAUGGAAGUCUGUACGGCUGAAUUCAUAGCUCAAUAGUCAAAUCUAGCCGGAGUCACUAAAAUGACCUAUACGGCACUCUACUGCACACGAGUUGGAACCAAUGAAAAAGUCUGUACGACAGGAUUGGGUGUAAUAUAAAUAUGCUCAAUACUACUCUUUCUCAUAAUAGCUGGGCGAUAAAUCGCUAAUCACUUACAAGUCAAAACCACCUAUGAUGGUCUGUACGACAAGACUAUGCACCUAAAUUGGUUCCAAUGUGAGCAUAUGGUGCGAGAGGUGACAUUAUAGACAGACCUGUGUCAUAUCUCUGACUAAAUCACAAUCACCAUAGGUGCAGUUUUGAGCUAAACGUUAUUCAAUCACAUGCCAUUAAUCAUUAAUUCUCAUAACAAAACAUAACUCACCUGGUACUUACCUGAGCAUCCACAACACCGCAAUUAUGUAUAUAUGUAAACAAUUCAACUCAUAUACUAAAUAUAAAGUUAUACGCAUGGCAUUCAAGGCAUACUUUCAUUUAAACGCAUAUUUCUGGGAAAAUAUCAAGUAUAUAGAUAUAUACUUAAAAUCAAAAGCCCACUCACUGUUAUGUCGAAGGGUCGUAGCCCCCGAGUCACCCUUGACUGCACUCGUCCUCGGGAUAAGUCUCACCUAUAUGCGAAUUAACUGAAUAAACGUUAUUUAAAGCACAUAGACAAAACUAGCUAAUAACUUCUCAUACAAUGCUCAAAUGGGGUAUUUAAAUAUACCAAUGUGAUCUACACAACUCCACAAACAUCCCCAUAUUUUUAGAAAAUUUUUCCGACCACCCACGUGCCGCCACGUGCAGGGAACUUAACGGAAUCCCCUAACCCCGUUAGGAAUAUUCUGUUAAAAAGUAAUGGAAUCCAUUAAUUUUACCUGACGGCGUCAGAAUAUUCCAUCAACUUUGACGGACUAUUCUAUCUUCUUCUCCGGUUAGACUCGCUGGUCAUCGUCGCCGUCGUUGUUUGCCGGAAAAUUGAAAAAUUACAGAAACCUUCAUAUCUUGUCCAAAUCUCAACCAAAUUCCACGAAACUUGAACCAAUUUAAAGCUUAGGACAAGUAGAACAAAACCUUACCUUUCAAAGGUCCUAAAACCGACAGAACUUGCCGGAAAAUCCUUCGAUAUUCCGGCUAAAAUCCACUGAAACCUUCAUGUUUACGUGUGCAUGAACAAUGCAUCAAUCGGAGAUUCUUGGUUCUCACGAUUCCGACGUCCUCUCGACCAACUAAGGGUACCAAUGUGCUCUUGGACUUACAAGGAACACAAAACCAACCUCCAAGUCUUCAAUCUGUAACUGGUUGAAGGGUUUGAGGGUUGUCCGUACAAAGUGUACGGAAAAUGGAUGAAUUCUGAGAGAAGGAGAGAGAGAGAGGUCAACGGCAAUGAUGUGGGUGUGUGUGUAUGGUCUAGAUUUUAGGUCACCAACCAAAAACAAGUAAACUCUAAGUUCUAAUUGGGUCCAAACCAUUAGGACUUAAAAUGAUUGGCCCGUUUCACACACUCACGACCCAACGCUCCUGGGCAAAAUCGACAUUUCACGCCAUAGAUAAAAGUAAUUCAGGACGAGCUGUGACACAUUAGUGUAAACAUAUCAUUAUAUAUAAAGUGUUUAAAUUUAAGAUAUUCAAUAAAAAUUUUAAACGAAUCCAUGAAAGUCCACAAAUUUAAGAGUACUCAAUUAAGAUUUUAAAAGAGUUUAUGAAAAUUUACAAAAUUAAAUCUAGGCAUAUUUAAUCAAAAUUUUAAAGUAAUUCAUAAAACUCCAUGUGUACUUAGUAGGAUUUGAUAUUAAAGUAUUUGAAAAUGCCAAUACUAGGUCGACUAAAUUUACAAAUCAAAUGGUGUGUCACUAAUAAAAACAAACAUGUUAAUCAACACUUAAGUAAUAAUUUAAUAAUCAACAACCACAUCAUGUAGUUUACAAAAUCUGGUUUAAAAAUUUGAUCUACCUAAUAUUACCCGUUUAAAAAACUAAGAAAUUUUAUGAAUUAAAAGUGAUUUUAUAAUGUAUUUUAGACUUUAGCAAAUCAAGUAUCUCCCCUAAAAUUUUGAAUGAUUUCACAUGAACUCCUGAAAAUGGAAAGUCACAAGUCAUAAAAUUUUAUAAUUCAUAAAUCCUACGGUGGACUGAACAGCCAAGUCAAUAUUCCUUCCAACAAAUCGUGCGGUCCAAAUUCGUGACGGUAGCCAAAUCAACCUCGUAUUUCGCUGUCGGAUCAGUCUGACCACGACUCCAAUAAAUCCAACUGCCACCACGCUUCCAAAUCAAUCCAACGGACAACCAAUCAUCUACGUCACCGAUCCUCAUGCAACCCAUCCACCAAUCAGAACCAACUACCCGUCACUAUAUAAACAAACCGCACUCUCCUCCCCUCCACCAGAAUACCUGAAUUCACUCCCUCUCCCCGCAAAAAUCCGUUCCAACUUCCCAUCAUCGCAUCUUUUCCGAUUCAACAAAAAACCACCCGAUAUGGCGCCAACGAAGGGUGAGAAAAAGCCGGUGGCGGAGAAGGCACCGGCUGGGGAGAAGAAGCCGACGAAGGCGGAGAAGAAGAUCCCAAAGGAAGGCGGCGUGGAGAUGAAGAAGAAGAAGAAGGUGAAGAAAUCGACGGAGACGUACAAGAUAUACAUCUUCAAGGUGCUUAAGCAGGUCCACCCGGACAUCGGGAUCUCCAGCAAGGCCAUGGGGAUCAUGAACAGCUUCAUCAACGACAUUUUCGAGAAGCUCGCUCAGGAGGCGUCACGUUUGGCCAGGUAUAAUAAAAAGCCAACGAUCACGUCGAGGGAGAUCCAGACCGCCGUCAGGUUGGUGCUGCCCGGCGAGCUCGCCAAACACGCCGUGUCUGAGGGCACCAAGGCCGUUACUAAAUUUACCAGUUGUUGAUUUUCUUUUUAAUUUUUAUGAUAGGCUCUAUUUGGGAACGUCCUUUUUUUGUGUUAAUAUUAUUUUUGACGUGAAUAAUAUACAUGCAUGCAGUUGUUUUUAUGUAAUCGGUUUUUAUUUGGAUUUUUCCACGAAAAAUAUAUUCAGAUGUGAUGAACCAGUGAAAUAGUGGGCAAUUCGCGUCGUUUUUGGAUUGAAAUCUCUAAUAAAUUGCAAUUUAUAUGAUGGUUUGUAGAUUGAAAAUUUUAACUGGAAAUUUUUGAUUUUUCUGAUGAUGGGACACAUGAACAAGGAAUGGAGGAUAAAUCAAAGACGAAUGCGAGAGUUAUUAAUGCUAUGAAAUAGUAGUUAUGUACUCUUCGAAAUCAUAAGACAACCUUGUAAAGAAAACAGGAAAAAUAAUUACGUACGAUUCCAUUCUUCCUCUUGGUACAAGAAGUACCAAGAGGUAAUUAGGUUUUUUCUUUUUUAUUUUCAUGUAUCUAUAGGGAAUUAACUUGACUAUUCUUUGUACGUGAGAGGGUAAAAAUCAAAUAGAAAUGGAGGCCCUUCCUCCACCCGAAUAUGAAAUUCACGAUGCAAACAAGCAUUCUUAGCUAAAUGAUGCGCUACUCAAUUACAAUCACGGCAAAUAUAUAACAUAAGCAAAGUAAAGGAAACAAGAGUAGCUUCCGCCACAUGCCCAAUUUAUCUUCAUCUCUUAAUUAACAAGUCCGAAACCACUUGUUUGGCAUCCAUAGAAUAACAUAAGACCCCAAUCACAAUUAGCAGUAAGUAGCUCCAUGAUCCAUCCACAUUAAUUUUCACAUGAGGAGGAGGAGGCUUUCAUAGCCCAUGUGAAUAUCAAAGAAGGCAAUUAAGUUGAAUUGCUACAAUUCAUAGCCUAUUUGAGACUCCUCUAUAAAGUAUUUAUUUUUCUCGUAAACGUUUUUGCUAAAACCGCUUCUAAUUAAAACAAGUUCAAAUUUUUAUUAAAAAUUCAAGUGCAACUGUGCAACCUCGACAAGCACUUGAGAUUUGAGAGCAUUUCGUGAAGCAGCGCCUUCAAGAAUCAAACUUAUGUUGCCUAAUUAAAACAAGUUCAAAUUUUUAUUAAAAAUUCAAGUGCAACCACUUCAAGAAUCCAACUUAUGUUGCCUAUGUAAAAUACAAAAAAAUUACAAAAAAAAGACGCUAGAAGGAGGGUUCGAACCUCCGACCUUGUGGUUAACAGCCACACGCUCUAACCAACUGAGCUAUUCCAGCCGUUCGAUAAACUUCUAUAACAAACGCUUUCUAAAUUGCUUAACGCAAACUCACCAUCUUAUCAUGAGAGAUUUCAAAAAAAAAGAAAAAAACAACCCUAGCAGUCUUUCUACCGUACAACAGUAUAUGGCACAUGUAUUGAUAAAACAAUUAAUGUAUAACAUAUAUCGUUGCAUACUAGAAUUUUCCAACUCGAGAAUCAUGCAGUAGAUGUUCUCAAAGUUAAAAGAUAUAAGUGGAAGAAAACACCAAAUCAAGCAAUAGUUAUACAAAGAGAAACGAUUUAUGCUCACUCUUUUUCACUUCUAGUGCACCUGUUUAUUUUUUCCCUAACCAUUUGGAUUGAACAAACCAAAGGAAAAUCAAGAGCCACGAUUAAGAGGGGUGCGUAGAAAGUGAGAGUCUGCAGAAACCACUCCACUUGUAUAAAUUAUCUCCAACUGCAUUGCAAAAAGCAAAAUUUAGAAGUCGGAAAAUUUUCAUUUCAUAUGAAACAUGGACGUUCAAAAUGGAUAUCGAAACAGGGUAGAAAGGUCUUAACGACACAUGAAGGCAUCCUACUAACCAAGUACAAACAUGGAGAUUCCAUACACAAGUGCAUUGUGUUGAGAGCGAAUCCCACAUCAAUGAGAUGAUGGAUCUUGCAUGUGCUUAUAAGUAGUUAGGAUACUUCCCAUACUGCCAAUUGGUUUUAGGGUAGAACCUCAACUUUCUUCACAUUGCACUGCUACCAAACACACUACUAAUUCGAUACGUUAUGCCUUCUUAGGGGACUUGGUGGCAGCUUUGACGGGCGACUUGGGUUCCUUCGCAACCCUCUCGGGCUUCUUUGGCAGAAGCACAGGGUUGAUGUUGGGAAGCACAGCAGCAUGAGCAAUGGUCACACCCUUCAGGAGCUUUCCAAGUUCUUCAUCGUUCCUCACGGCCAAUAGGCACAUGCCUUGGGAUAAUGCCAUUCUUAUUGUUGUCUCUUGCAGCAUUUCCAGCCAGUUCCAAAACCUAACCAAAUCUCUUCAUCAUAAUUAACACCAAUAUCUACCUAAAUCGUAAAGCAUAUACGUACUUGAAUACAUUUGGCUGCUAAUCAAAGGAGAUUGGAAACAAAUUUGGGGAAUUGGCUGUUAUAGGACUAUUAUAAAUUCUUUUGCUGAAAUAGUAAACUCAUCCUCUACAAUUUAGAAAACCAUGAUUUUCAAUUUCCCUUUUCCAUCAUUUUCUUACCAACCAAACAGAUCCCAACAGUUAAUAAAAAGCAAAAACCCUUUGCACCAAAAAUAAAAAUAAAAUUUGGUUUAGGUCACUAAAUAAUUUUAUAUUUUGGCAUAGGUUGAUGGUUUCUAGCAUAGGUCAACAAGAACAAUUUUCCUCAUCAAUUAAAGUCAAUAUCACUUUCUUAAAUUUCUCUUCGUUGAAAUGCACAAAAUUCACAAUAUUUCACUACGUCAGUCUAGCUUAUAUAUUAUAAGUCAAUCCAACUUAAUUUUUAGAGCUAGGUCAAUCCGUAAUAGUCUGGUGCAACAAACGCACUUACAACGAAUUGUAAUUAUUGUAAGAACUUGUAUGUACGUUCCAAGCAUCUUUGUUAGCAAAAAGAAAGACUAGAUCCAAAUCGAGUCCAGAACUUGCAUUAUAUACGCAUUCGAUAAGUGAUGGAUCUUAUUCAAAUUAUCAUAUUGUCAACAAACUAGCUAGCUUUUUGAUCGAGCUAUCGAUGACGUUAACACAGGUCGCAAAUUGAAUUCUCCUCUCUUUGGUACUUGUAUUCAUUUUUGUUCAUGCAUGUGUAAAUAUCAGGAGAUGAUUUUGCAUACAGUUUCUAGGGUUUAUUUGUGGAUGUGGAUGUGCAUGUAAAGGAUGACUUUGCAUGAUCAUCUCCUUGGCAACGGUGCGGAUUCAGUGACCGAAUUAAGCAAUGGACUCGUGUCCUUCUUACUGCAGGUUAAACAACCGUUUUGACAGAGCAAAGCAAAAUCGUGGCAUUACCCCCAAAGUUCUAGAGCUCCUCAUCAGCCACGUUUACCCUAUUACGUGUCACAUCCUCCUCUCUCUGCCUCUUCAGUCACAUUCCAAUCCUUCCUCUAUAUAAACCCCAACUCCCCUCCUAACGGUAACUCAGUACUGAAAAGUGCAAUUACCUCACUGGGUCAAACUUUGCGUACAGUUGCUAGGGUUUGUGAGAAGAACUCGAGUUUGGAAAUUAAGAAAUGGCUUCGGAACAGGAAAGACAAGACCCCGAGAAGAGAAAGGAGCUGGACGAGAAGGCAAGGAGGGGAGAGACUGUCGUCCCCGGUGGUACUGGUGGCCAUAGCCUCGAGGCUCAGGAGCACCUUGCUGAAGGUAACUAAUUCAUUUAACUACUCACUCUUUCCACUUCUCCUGCGAGAAAGAAAUUUCAUGCACUUAGUACGCUAUAUGCAAGGGUAGCAGUAUGUCGAGACCUGAAAGCCAAAAAAUAUGGUAAUUUAUGUGGUAGUGAGUCAUAUUCUCUAUAAUGCAACCUUUGCAUUCCAGGUGAAAGUAAGUUUUGACAUAUUUGUUGUAGUCUCUGAAUGAUUAAUGAAUGAUUGUGUGAUGAUAAAUUAGGGCGGAGCCGUGGAGGGCAGACGAGGAAGGAACAGAUAGGGGAAGAGGGAUACCAUGAAAUGGGAAAGAAAGGCGGGCUGAGCACCUCCGACAAGUCCGGAGGUGAGCGUGCUGCUGAGGAAGGCAUCAAGAUUGACGAGUCCAAGUACAAGACCAAGAAUCGCUGAUUUCGGAGCAACAUUGGUGGCUCCCAAAACCCCAGUUGGAUUUCGUUUUUUAGUGUUUCUAGCUACGUCAGUGUCUGUAACAUAAGUUGUAACAUUGGUAGUUUGCUUCUUUUUCUCUUGUAGUGUGACCGCCAACCUCAUUUAGGAAAUGCGAGCUGGGAGAGUUUUUGUGGAGCAACUUCCUUCAGAUCUAAUAAGGGGUUGCUUUUUGCAUGUAACUAUGACUCAUGUAAUCUCCUUGUGUUUAAUUUUUAGGAAAAUUAAUGAAAAGAGUUUGAAAAUUUUUCCUUAACGAAAAUGACAAAAUAAAGGAUGAUCUGAAUAAUAUUAGAAUUGAUUUUUUAGUAUAGUUAAAGUUCUCAUAAUUUUAAGGAUCAGUCUUUUAGUUAAUGGCAUUGGUAUCAGUUCUUAAUCUUUUUUUUUGUAUGAUUUUCCUAAUUUUUCUUCAUACGUCCAAGCCUUCCUUCGUGUGGCACAAAAAUUUCGCUUCAAACAUUCAGGGGAAUUUCAAACGUUGUGUAUUAGGUUCGCACGCUUGCGAAAUUGUUUGUCUACAAUCACAUUUUAACCCCGACAAUGCCGAAAUCUAAACAGAUCUUCCAAUAUCAAUAAACCGUUUUAUUCUAUAGAGUUCAAAAUUUACUUAACGACGUCACAUGUUAAUGCUAAUAAUUUAAGCCAAAUCACUCUUAAUUGUACUACUAAUGCCUUUUGAAUAAGAUAAAGGGAAAACUAAUGAAAAAUGUUUGAAAACUUUAAGUUUUAACGAUAAGGACAAAAUAAGGAGUAAAGUGAAUAGUAUCAACAUUGAUUUUUUAGUGUAAAAAUAUGGUUUUUCGUUAAAGUGAACAGUACCAGAAAUUUUUCGUUAAAGUUUUCUAAGAUAAAACAUCCUUUUAGGUAGGUCUAGAAGAAAAUACUGAAACUCUCGAAGCCAACCCAAGAAACCCAAAUUUGGCCCAAAAUCCCAAAAAUUUUGGUAACAUGAUACCGAAGAAUCUCAAUAAUUUGGUACAUGUUGUAGGCAUAAUUUACUGAACAAUUAUGGAUACCUUAGAGCAACUCCAGUGGGGGAGGUUGCUCGGGGGCCAGGCCUUCAAACAGGACCAAAUUGCUAGGGGGAUAGGGUCCAACGUUGGGUAGCCCGAGUGACAGACGAGGUCCGAGGAGCAGGCCCGGUGUGAAAUCUCAUCCCCCGGAAUUUCACCAUUUAUUAUGUAUUUCGUAAUUUAAAUUCAUAUUUCGCAAUUACGUUAUCUUUAUUAGUUAAUUUUAAUUCUACUACUUAUAAGUUUAGUAAUUGAUUAGUUAUCGAGUUGGAAGUUUCAUAAACAAUCCUUAUCUUUCGUUGACAUUUCGAAGUUACAACUAGUGUUUUUAAAUAAAUCUUGAACCCACGAACGCAUAGGUGAAAGCCGUUUGCGAGUCCGAAUUAUAAUAGUAUAGUUAUGGACGUUUGAAGUGGUGAAACUUUAGAUUGUGAAAAUCAUUUUAAUUUCCACUUAUGGGUAAAAGACCCAAACCCUUUUUAGAUUAAUGGACCGGCUAUUAUAAGUGGAAUUGGGCAAAUUAGGUGGUGGAAAAAGUUUAGGCAGCAACCACUAUUAAGGGGACCUAGCAGAUUUUUUUUUAAGGAAAACUAAUGAAAAAUGUUUGAAAACUUUGAGUUUUAAUGAUAAGGACAAAAUAAAGGGUAAAGUGAAUAGUACCAGGAUUGACUUUUUAGUGUAAAAAUGUGGUUUUUCGUUAAAGUGAACAAUACCGGGUGCUUUUCGUUAAAGUUCCUUUUUUUUUAAGGUUGAGAAAAGAUCAAUAGGAAGGAGGAAAAUGUGGACAUUUUCUUUUUCCAUUGGGUGAACCCAUCUACCACCACCAAACCCUUUUUAUUUUCAAACCGGCCAAUGUAGGCCAAUUCCUACCAUUUCUCUUCUAAUUUUCCUACCUCCUUCACUUGCAACUUGCUCCACUACCUUCCUCCUUCCCUCUCUACAAAAAAAUCAAGGGUUUUAAGGUCUAUUUCAUGUAGAACUCCAUAGGAGAACCCGAGGGUUCUCGAUGACGAAUUGUCAUUUCGAAGAGUAUCACCAUUCACCAUCACCCUUAAUCAGCUUCCCUUGGACCCAAGAACAAAACCCAAUUGGUGGUUGGGGCGUUGGAACACCAAAGAAGCCGAAUUGAAUAACACCCACCUUAGGGUUUCGUUGGGUGCGAGCUAAUUUGAGGGCCUUCCUGACCAAAUUGGACUCGGCCACAGGUAUCAAGUUUACUCUACUUGUUGAAAUCUUCAUUCUUGUAAAAUUUGAGAAUUUUUUGAAAAAGUCAAAUUUUCCGAUAUGUGACAUUUGAUUUAUGAAAAUGUUGUUGAUUGUAUAUAUUAUCGAUAAGGUCUACCACUUGAUUAUUCUAACAAUUGACAAUCUUAUCAUUGAAUUGAGACAAGAUUUUAAUAUGCUAUUGUAGAUUGUUUAAGGACCUUAGGGACUUAUAAGUGAAAAUCUAGUGAUUGGAUUUUACGAAGCAAAUAACGUAAGAUCAUGGACCCUACAUUAGAACGACGGUUCGAUUCCUCAUUAAAUGUUGUUGUGGGAGACAUAUGAGAAUUUUUGAGUAUGUGAAUUAUCGAAGGAAAUCUAAAUGUGGACUUUUGCUUUGUUAGGCGGUGAUAGAACGUGAUGCCUUGACUAUCGUGCUAGGGUACAUUAGCGCGGACUCCAGGCGAGUGACUUUAAUAUAUGUGAUAUUGGUAAUUAUCAGAUUGUCAUAAUUAUGAUCCUGUGUGGAUAUGAAUUGGUUUUAUGAAUAUGUUCUAUUGAAUUGUUAUUCCAAUACUUCGACAUCAAUUUAUGUUAAUGAAAUGGGGUGUGGCAUAUAUAUUGGAAAUGUGGUUUGAUUUGUAUGAUUGACAUGUUAAGAUUAAUGUGAGGACUAGUAAUGACUGUUAACCAUUAUGAUGGGGAUUUGUUGCUUCAAUAUGGUUUCACCUUCCGCUUCGGUGAUUGGUUCUAAAUUUAGUAAUUGUGCCUAAUCUUUCUUUGUUGAGUUUUUGUAAAUUAAGUAGCAUGUGCUUGUCCCAUUUCUUUGAGUCGCCGUACAUUCUGAUUGUUGGUCUUCUGCGAUUCCGUUGAGUGAUGUUUGGAAUCGUAUCCACUCGGAUUCCGUUAAGAGAUGGUCUGGAAUCCUUCUAUUCCGCGAUUCUGUUGAGUGAUGUUCCAGAAUCAUAUCUAAAUUGGGUUUCAUUUAGUUAUUGUUACGUAUUGAUUUAGCGAUUCUGUUGAGUGAGGGUCUGGAAUCGUAUCCACUUGGAUUCUGUUGAGAGAUGGUCUGGAAUCCCUCAUAUUUCACAUUCCAUUGAGUGAAGGUCCGAGAUCUUACUCACCUUGGGAUGUAUUGAAUUUGAAUUGAGAUGGCUUCAAAGAGGUAGGCUUCGGUCAAACUGUGUCGCUCUAACUCUACUUUUCAUUGUGUUGUAUGAGAAGAUGGUUGUGAGAUGUUGUGAUUGGUUUCAGAUGAACCGUUGGGUGUUUGGGUGAUUCCUUCGGGGUUUGCAAAGUUGGUAUUGAUUUCUUAUGAAUGAUUUAUAUUCAAGAUGUGUAAACUUUGUUUGAUGGUUGGCAUUAGCAUUAUUCUCACAUAUUUGAUAUUAUUGUCACUCGCAUAAACUUCUUAACUUAUCCAGGUUGUUGUUUGCCUGGUGCACCAUUCCGAUGGUGUAGGCACUGAUCGUACAAGUGACAGGUUUGAGUAGACUCCGGGAAGUUUGUAGGUGGGGGUAGCAGUGCAGUUAUCAGAGACUUGGAGUGUUAGGUUACCCUUGUUUCACUCUUGUACUCUAUCUUUUGGGACUUUCUUUUGAGCACCUCAUACUUGUUCUUAGUAAAGCAAAGAUUAUGCUUCUUUUUGGGAUGUACAUAAUUGUAAAUAUUUUGUGGAGAACUUAGCCACCUUCACAUUAUUUUGGGUUAUCAGUUAAAGUAUUUUAUUCCGUAACUUAUACCGUAUUCAACGAACAUUAUUUUCGUUGUCACGUGUCGAUUUUUGACGUAUGUUGGGAUCAGGACGUGACACCCGGCGUCGAUUGCCCGCCCGAGAGCCCGAGGGCUGCGUCAAGCGCAUGCAUUUCACAUGCACGUGGGCGCGCGUCUUCCGACAAAAAAACAGGGUUGGGGCCCGCGACGCUUGUUUUGAAAUGUUACCAUUGGGGAAGCCACGUGGCUUCCCCAUGUUCGUUUGAUUGCAACGGCCUUAUUUUAUGAACCGUUAGAUUUCCAACAGUAAAAAAUAUUUAAAAAUCUCAUUUAAUUUCAUCCAUUUGAUCUAAGAUCAACGGUCCACAUUAUUAGGCUUUGUAAAUUAAAAAAAGAAAAGAAAAAACAAUUAAAAAUUCGGAAAUGUUACCGUUGUGCCACGUGGCACAAUUUGGAGUGUUGGAAUUCAAUUUUUUUUAAAAUCCAACUGCAGAGAUUAAUUAGGUGAAUAAAAAAAUUUAAAAAUGUAAGAAAUUCUUUAAAAUCCAAAAACAAAUUAUGAAAAAUUAUAAAAAAAUUUGAUUUUACUUUUCUAUAAAUACCUUCUCAUUAUCUUCUACCUUACACCACAAUUUCAUAUUUUCUCAACUACUUUCAAUCACAUUCCUAUCUUUCUCUCAAAGUUUGAAUCCAAUUUUUUUUUCUAACAAAAUGACAACUCAAGCAGGUACGAAUUUGACACUUCUUGAAGAUGUUGCGUUGUGUACUAGCUGGGUUCAAGUUACUCAUGAUUUGCUUACGGGUAAUGAGAUACUGUUGUGAGAAAUGUGGAGUCUUAUUCAUACCAAUUAUCUUGAGAAAAUGGGUGGGCAAAGAACUAAAGAAUCGAUGUCCAGUCGUUGGAAAUUACUUAGCCAAGCGUUUAGUACGUGGAGAGACACCUUUGCACAAGCUAGUGGUAAUCUUUGAAGUGGGGAAAAUUUAACGGAUCAGGUAACAAUAUAUUAUUUAUUUGUUUGUAUUAUUUAAUUGUUAGCUACUUUCAUUAUAAUUAUUUGUUUGUAUUAUUUAUUUGUUACCUACUUUCAUUAUAAUUAUUUGUUUGUAUUAUUUUUUGUUACCUAUAAUUAUUUAUUCUCCCUCAUUAUGUAGGAACUUCAAGCACAAGCUUGGUAUGGUGCCAAAACCAAAAGCAAAAACAAAACAUUCACCCAGUUUGAAUGUUGGAAUAUUGUCAAAGAUUGUCCUAAAUUCAGAGUUAUGCCUGUCGGUCUAGAAGUUUUCAUGAACAGCAUCCAUCUACACUUUACACCCGAUCAUGCCUCGCAUGAUCAUGAUGAAGAUGAUGCAGAAGAAGUGCCUGAAACCCCCCCCCCCGUUGAACAAGCGUCGGGGUCGACCCGUUUUCCAAUUAGGCCUCAAGGUAAGAAGGCUUCAAAGAGAAAAGGUAAUGCUUCCAAGAAUGAUUACGCAAAGUAUAUGGAAGACCUUGCCCACCAAGGUGAAUUGACUUUGGCCCGGGAAAUGGCUAAAUUUGAGGCUGAUAAGGCUAGAGAGGAUGCAAAAGCUGCAGCUUUUGAGAAAAAAUUUGAAGCUGAUGAGAGAGAAAGAGAACUACUUCGGCAAGAAAGGGAACAUAGAAGAGAAGAAAGAAUGGCUAAACAAGAUCGUAACAUUAUGAAAGAGCCUUUAGAAGGGAAGUUUCCAAACUCUAAAUAUUUUUGGAAGUCGGAGAAAGCGGACGUGAUGCGAAUGAGGCAUGCAAGAGAAGCGAGAGUAAGAGGAGAUGGUCCUAGCACGACAAGAGAAGAUCAUCCUAGCAAGACAAGAGAAGAUCAUCCUAGCAUGACAAAUUGGUUAGGUGAUGAUUAUCCAUUCACAAACCCAUAAUUUUCCAAUCAAUUCGGGUUGUAAUUUCUUAUUCAUUGAAUAAAGUACUUUAUGUUGUUUCUAAUUUAUUGAAUUUAGUACUUUAUUUAAACUAAGAGUAUAUUUAUUCAAUUUGGUUAUUUAUUGAAUAUGUUGUUUCCAAUUUAUUUAAUUUAGUACUUUAUUCAAAACACAUUUAAACACACCAAAUAAAAUAACAUCAACACACCAAAUAAAAUUACAUCAACACACCAAAAAAACACACCAAAUAAAAACAAACACCAAAUAAAAUUACUUCAACAUACCAAAAUUACAUUUCAACUCACUAAAUGAACUAAAAAAACACACCACAUAAAAUAAAAUAAACACACCAAAUAACACUAAUGAACUUAAGUAUCUUCAGCACCCCUCAAUUCCCACUGGUUCUCUAUCAAGUCAAUUUGGCGGGCAUUGUGCAUAUAUGGCCUUUGAAGUGCAGUAUAUCGUUGAAUGACCCUAUCAUUGUAACGUCCAUCCCUUUGUAAUGGUUCGUGUUGCACAGGUUCUUUAGUGGCAUCAUGAACACAAUAUAUUUGUGUUUUAGAAUUGUUUAUCGUGUCUAGCUGAUAUUCAUCAACGGCAUCAUAAUCGUACUCAUCUUCCACAAUCAUGUUGUGAAGAAUGAUGCACGUCAUCAUGAUGGAUCGAAGCAACUCUACAUCAAACAUUCUGGCAGCACCCCUAACAAUAGCCCAGCAAGCUUGGAGUAUACCAAAACAACGCUCCACAUCUUUCUUGCAUCCUUCUUGACAGCUUGCAAAGUAUUUUUCCUUUGCACUUCGUGGACGUGACACUGUUUUGAUAAACGAUUCCCACCUUGGGUAAAUGCCGUCUGCUAGGUAGUAUGGCCCGUCGUACUUACGUCUGUUGACCCAGUAUGUGACUUUUGGUGCCUUUCCUUGCAGGACUUCGUUAAACACUGGGGAUUGGGCAAGGAUAUUGAGAUCAUUUUGAGCUCCCGGAACCCCGAAAAAGGCGUGCCAAAUCCAUGUAUCAAAAGAUUCCACCGCCUCCAAAAUGAUACUUUUUGAUCCUUUUCUGUCCCCAUAAGCGCAUUGCCAUGCAUUUGGACAGUUUUUCCAAGUCCAGUGCAUACAAUCAAUGCUUCCAAUUAUCCCUGGAAAACCUCACAUCUCGCCCUUCUUCAGAAACCUUUCCAAGUCCAUAUGAGUAGGUCUCCGGAGGUACUCUGCUGUGUAGAUAGAUUCGAUUGCCGAGCAAAACCUCAUCAGGGACUCAAGAAUGGUUGAUUUUCCCAUCCUUGUUAUCUCGUCCACUUGGUUUGCAGCUGCUUCAUAUGCAAGCAUCCUCAAGGCAGCAGUAAUUUUUUGCUAAGGCAGGAGACCCAUAGCACCAAAAGCAUCCGGCUUUUGCACAAAGUAAGAAUCAUGGUUGCAAAUAGCGCCCAUGAUUUUGUUGAACACAUGUCGUUCCAUUCUAAAACGACGUCAGAAGUACGUAUCAGGGAAUGCACUGUUACGGACAAAAUAAUCGUCCAAGAGCUUCUAACCUCGUCGUUGCCUGUUUAUAUCAAUGUUUACAGCAUGGUUGGACCUACAGAUCUGAACCAUAGCUUGGAACUCGACGAGAGUGUGAGGCUCCUGCCAUUCUUGAUUCGUCAUCUCUCCGUCUACGCUCGUCAUCCUCUUCCAUCUCAUUGUUGGCCCAAUCAACGGCAUUGAACAUUCCUUCUGAUUGAUUAAACAAUUCUUCCUCUUCUUGAUCGAUUUCCCACAUCAUCUUUGAAAAAGAAGAAAAAGACAUUGUAAGAAGGAAGCAGAAACUAUGAAUAAUGAUAGAAAUUUUGGUGAAGAAGGAAGCAGAAACUAUGAAUAAUGAUAGGGAUUUUGGUGAAGAAUGAAGCAGAGACUAUGAAUAAUGAUAGAGAUCUUGAGAAAAUUUGUGUGAGAUUUCUGAGGAUGGAUAGUGGAUUAUAUGGAGGAUUCCGAAAUGAUUAGGUUGUAUAUAAUGCCACGUGGCAUGCCGUUAUUCGUUAAAAAUCUGGUGGAAAUCUAGCCUCAAAGAUUGUAAUCGGAUUAUGACACGUGACACGACGUGAUUGGUUAAAAAUCUUAUCGGAAAUCCAUCACCAAUAAUUGUCUUUUCAGAUAAUGACACGUGGCGUAACACAACGAUUAAAAAUCUUAUCGAAAAUCCAUCACUAAUAAUUGUCUUUGCUGAUAAUGACACGUGGCACAACGAGAACGAUUAAAAAUCUUAUCCAAAAUUACAAAUAAAAUUAUUUUGAAUUAUUUUAUAAAUAAAAAAAUACAAAUAUUUUAUUGCUAUUGGCUUUUCGGAUAAUGACACGUGGCUCAACGAGAACGAUUAAAAAUCUUAUCCGAAAUUACAAAUAAAAUUAUUAUGUAUUAUUUUAUUGCCAAUUGCCAUGGCUAUUCAAUGCAGGAGUGAAGAUGUAAAAGGCAAUUGCCACGACAAUUAUUGUUCAUUAAGGGCAGUUACUGUUUACUGGGUGGAUUAAAUAGUGAAUAGCAUGGGGGGGAGGGCUCAUACACUGGAUAGUGUAGUUGCUCUUAGAGAGAGGGGUGCGGCAAUAGGUAGAGAGAAUGAGAGAGAUGUGUAAUUGUGGGUGUGUUUGUAUCAUCCCAUUGUGCCUUUAUUUAUAGUAGUAGGAUAGGUAAAAACCUUUCCCUUUAGGAUUACAACAUUUAACAGGUAAUCUACUCCUAAUAGGAAUAUAAGAGAUAUUCCAAGAUAUACUAGGAUUUACACCAUCACAUUUCUAAUCUAAUAGGACUGCAACAACACAGGAUUAUUCUUCGAUAAUUCUUGGUAGAGGAUUAUUCUUCGAUAAUUCGGUACAUGAUUAUGGACCUCAUCGCCGUAUUUUUAGUAAUACCAAACCGAAUUGAUUAUAAUUUUUUUCAAACUUUUAUUAUAUAAUACAUAUCAUUAUAAAUAAUCCUAGCCAUUAUAUUGGUUAAGAUUAAAUUCCUACUGUUGUUUUGAAUAGAAGAGCGAAGAGAAGAGUCUCCUUCCUCUUCUCAAUCUCUCAAACCCAGACCACCGGACCCCGCCCCCAUCAUCACUCUGUUGCUCGUCUCUCUCCGUCUCGUUCUAAACGGCGGCCAACUACCACCACUCUUUGAUCGACUACCGUCGUUGCAUUUGGAUUUCUUCAAUACGUGAUUUUCUGAUAAACUUUGUUUGAUUUACCACCUGGAUUUGCAUUAAAUUUGGAAGUUUUAUGUAGUGGAUAAGCUCUUGUUCUCUCGACUUCACUCAUCUUCUCUUUAACGGCGACUCACUUCACAUCUCUCAAUUGGAUUAGAAGUUCCAACUAGACCUAGCAUUUAACACAUGACCCGUUAAUCCGAUAUAAAAUGAUACGAAAAUAACAGAUUUUGAGUCAAAGCUUAAUCGAUCCGAUGUGUUAUCAGGUCAAUCAGUUACAUAACGCUUUGAUUCAAAUCUACAAGUAGGUAAUCCGUUAAACUAAAAACCCUAACUAUAUGAUAGUCAUAGUUUCACGUGUAAUAUGUGUAUUAUACAUGUGCUCAUGUAUAUUUCACGUACUUGACUCGUUCAUAUUUAACAUAGUAUACUUGUUUUGUAUUUAUCGCAUAACGUUAUGUGUUUUGAAAGUAAUAUUUAUAUGGGAUGAAAGUCUAAGCUUGUAGUGGUUAACGGAAUUGUAGUCCUAUUGCUAAAUCAAAGGACCUUACGAAUUCAGAUGUUAAUAUUUAGUAAUCUCAUUUGAAUUUUUUUAUUAAAGUAUAUAUUGUUUUUAAUAGGUCGGGUUGAAGUUUGAAUUCUUAAACUCAUUAAGAUAAUUUAGUAGCCACGACAUGGCCCAUUAUAAUAAUUGACUUGACACAAAAACCACAAAAACACGGCAAACACAACUUUGUCAGGUCUAGUUCCAAAUGCUGAGAAAUCUACACAAGGUUCAUCAUUUCGAUUUACUAAACUAAAUAAAAAAUGGAACUAAUUUUGAAAAUUAAUGAUUUUCAAUCAGAUAUUGGUUUUGUUUUCCUUUCUUAUUUUCGAAACUAGCCCUACUUGAGCAUUGUAUUUUAUUUUUGAUUUUCGUCAAAAACGAAUUUGAAUCAUAUUAUUGCUAACUCACUAUGAUGCUUAACCCACUCGCCCAUCUCCUAUUAUAAAUAAUAUUUUUUGUUAAAAAUAAAAAAAAUAAUAAAAAAAAGUCAUUGUCCCUUAAAUUACAAAUAGCAAAAUAAAUAUACCAAGAAAGCCCUUUUCUUGAAAAUAAAAAAUAAAAGAAAAAGGAAAAUGUUAGUUGACCUGGCCCAACCUAACUAAAAAUCUCCCGCGACCCAGCGGCAAUCCCCGAUGAACACGUGUACGUCUCCGAUAUAAUCUGCGAACCCGGCAGACUCGGGCGUGGACCCAUUGACCCAAAAGCAUUACCCGUCUUCUUCUCCUCCUUAUAUACAAACAAGGAAAACCCCCAAAUCCCAUCCGCUCUGAUCUCCAUUUCUGCGAUCUCUGAAGCUCCCUUUGACUUUGACCCACCACCAAAUCCAUCCAUUCUUCCUUCCUCCGCCAUGCUCCGCCGCUAAAUCCCCUGAAAGCCGCUAAAUCCCCCGAUUUCACGACUACCUAGAAGCCGGGUUUCUCAGAUUUCGCAGCUCUGGUUCACGAUCUGGGGCGGGUUUUGCUGCAACGUACGGGUUUAGGGGUUUCGAAGAGCAUACGAUAAUGCCUUCGGUGCCCACUCACCUCCUCCUACGACCCUCGGUCCCCAACUUGACUUCCUUCCACGGCGGCUCUUGCUCUCAUCGUCUGAAACAUCUCGAAAAAGGUGAUCGGCGCGGUAACCUUAGUUAACAUUAGGUCGAAAUCUCACUUGGGUUCGUUUAUCUUGUGGUUCUUGCUUAGCUUCCCAGUUUGUAGCGAAGUUUAGAGAGUUCUCGUCGAGAUUUCUUCGAGAAAUCUGAGGUUUUAAGGAUCGAAGAAAUCCUCUUUAAGGCUUUAAAAAGUUUGGAAUCGUUUUGUAAGAUCUUGGUGCGAAGCUUGUUCUAUCUGCUAACUUUAUUCGAGGUAAUUAAUUUUAUGAAUUUAGCUUGGUGUUCAUUGUUUUUGUUUAUAUUUAGGUUCAGAUAAUGAGGCAGCUGGAUAUUUCGAUUAUAUGAUGGAUAUGUAGUUAUUUUUGUAGCUCAAUGAUUUGGUUAACUGUGUUGAUUUGAUUUCUCCGGUUAACUGUGUUGAUUUGAUUUCUUCAAUGAUGUUUGAUGUUUGAUGUUUGAUGUUGUUAACAUGUGGAUUUUGGCAUUGUGUAGAAUUUGUUAUUGUAGAUGGACAUAAGCUCUUCUAGUGGGAAAUCGGUGUUGCGAAAUGUAGACAGUUUACAAGGUUUGCAGCCUUCUGCGAACCAAGAGCAAAUUCGUACUUUGCUUGAAGAUUAUUUAGUAAGCGACCUUGUAAGUGCUGUUGGUGAGUCCUUGAAUAUCAGAGGUAUUGGAGAAGAGUCGAUUGAUGUUAAAGAUGUUAGUGAAGAGUCUAUUGAUUCCAAAGAUGUUGGAAAAGAGUCGAUUGAUGCCAAAGGUGUUGGAGAAGAGUCGAUUGAUGCCAAAGGUGUUGGAGAAGAGUCGAUCGAUGCCAAAGAUGUUGGAGAAGUGUCCAUCGAUGCCAAAGAUGUUGGAGAAGUGUCCGUCGAUGCCAAAGAUGUUGGAAAAGUGUCGAUUGAUGCCAAAGAUGUUGGAAAAGAGUCGAUUGAGAUCAAAGGUGUUGGAGAAGUGGAACAUGCACCUGAUGGGGAUAAUACUAGUGGUGUGGAAAAAAGAAACACAUAUGAAGUUCCUAAUGCACAACAGGGAAACGUCACUCGAAAAUGCUUGAACAAGUGUGCAACCUUUCCUAUUCCUACUGGUGUGCUCUCUCCUAAUGCCUCAAGCAUAGUAAAGGAGGAACCAGAAGAAGUGCUAUGCGGGGAUGAAAAUCAUCACCAUGCCCACUCGCGCUCAGUGUCUUUGCCUGUAAGUUAUUUAUAUGCUUACUGGAACAGAGUUGUGCACCAUUUCCCCCUCAUACUAUGUUCUCUCUCUUGGACAUCCCAUUAAUCAUUACCACUUUUGUUUUCAGUUGAUAUACUUAAGAACCUGUUGUUAUUGUAAUGAGUGAAUAACCCUAUAUUGGACUAUGCCUAGCUUGAUAUACUGCACAUCACACAAAGUGGUGCAUACUUGGAGAUGGUUUAGAGUUUUGGGUUGUCCUCCCCCUCUUUUUUUUUUUUUUUUUUUGUCAAAUCACUUAACUUCGGAGUUCUGAUAGGAUCCAGUGCAUGUGAGUUGGUAUGAUCGCAUCCCGUCCUCGCCCUCUUGGCUUCACUUAAAGUGGUGGAGGCAAAAUGUGUUUGUUUCUUUGUGAUAUAGAAAAUGUUCAUUUGUUUUUUGGCUUUUUCGUCCUGUUCAUUAUGCCUUGUCCUUCUUGCCGGAUAGUUGGUCUCUAGCAUAUCAUGCAAUGUGUAGAAGCUACAUACUAUUUUCUGUGCAUCUCCUAUAUUAAGUUCUCCAGAAAAUAUGGAAUUAUGAUUUAGUAUAAUUAUGUUUAUGUCUUUAGUUUUGGAUGGAUUGAACUAGCCACUUGAAAAGAAAUGUUGUGAUGGUCUAGUUUUGUGUAGUUCUCAUAACAUAGGUUCUUAUUGUUCUUAAUGCCUUGUGCAGUCUCCUUCGAAGCUACUUUCUGCCCUAAAAGGUAGCCGGGCGAAAGAGGGAUUAUCACCCGGGAAACUUUCUGUCAAAUGGGCCCCUGAUGUGUACGAUCCGCCUGCUACAUCAAUGUCACAUACAGUGACAGCCAAGAAACAGCAGAAGUCAAAGAACAAGAAAAAUUGUAAGAAAGAUGGAAAGAAAUGGCAAAAGAGCAGUUCUUCACGAGGAAAAGAUAAGAAGCAAUAUCGCAAAUCUGGGUCUUCUGGGAGGUGUUACAGAUCAAUGGAUCCCCGUGAAACAUUGGUUGACACAAACAAUGGUUUUGGUGAGCUUGUGGUAGGCAGCCCAGACCAGCAUUCUUAUUGUGGGAGCUCCUUCUUGAAAAAUUCGCUCGCUAACAUGCAUUACCCGGUUGCUGAAGCCUCGUAAGUAAAAACAUAUAUAUGUUGCGAAUUUCACAACCUCCGUUGUGUACAUAAAUAAGUCACUCGAGACCGUUUUGUUGAUGAUAGUGUUUGAGAAAACUUGGAACAAUCUGCUACUCUAGUCAUGUCCAUGUUGUUGACCCAGCGUGGUGAUUUCUUUGCGUGUUGUGUCGUUGCUACCCUAUUAUGAUUUGCCAAUUAUCUGCUUAUCAAUUUAUGUGAUCGCAUUGUCUGCGUACUCUCUCCAGCAAAGGUUCAUGAAUUCAUAGGUUCAUGAAUUCAUACAUCAAUAGCAUUAUAGAACCCUAAUGUAUGAGGAAGUUAUGUUGAACCUAAUUUUAUUCACAUCCAUCGUUCAACACGCAAGGUAGUGUUCUCAUCUCGUAUGACCACGUUUUGUUCCUCCCUCCUACAUGUAUAGACCUCAAAACCACCGGCAUUUCCCUUUUUCAGUAUAAUUUUUACGUUAAAAGGCCGUAAAAAUUGAGCUGGUUUUGUAGGCCAACUGCUAAAUUAAAGAUGGAAUUUAAGACUUAAUUGCUUAAAUUUUCUAAUCGUAACUAAAUCUUUAAUUUGGAAUUUGUAUUACGGAAAUUGAAGCAAAAUGGCUAUUAAACAAUGAUUUUGGUUUAUUAGAGACAUCAACAAAUUGUUUUAGCUCGGUAGAGACAAAUUGCUUUCCCCAAGAGCAAUUCCAACCUAGCCAAAUAGGCUAGCACCCAGCCCAAGCCAACUUCUAGGGCAGCUCAAAACGUGCUAAGCAAAGGCCCGGCUUAUGUGAUGUCACGCUGGCAUCAGCAUGACAUCACAGGCCACUAUUGAUUUUUUUUUUUUUUGUGUCAGGAGUGUGGGAAACAUGCACACGUUCCCGACAAGAAAAAAGGGGCAGGGCCUGUCGGUGCAGGCGCAACAGAGGGGAGCGAGAGAAGCCACGUGGCUCGUUCUGGGCCUUUGGAUUUUCAACGGUAAAAAAAAUUGAAAUUCAAACCCAACGGCUAGUGACGUGGUGCGUUCUGGGCCGUUCGAUCCCAAGAUCAACGGUCCAGGAUUUUCGCCCAAAAAACGUAAAAAAAAAAUAAUACAACGGUCAGAAUUAUGGCCGUUGGCCACGUGUCCACAUCUGGGCUGUUGGAUUUGAAUCUUUUUCAAAUCCAACGGUCCAGAUUAAUUAACUUAAUAAAAAUUAUUAUAAAAAUUAUUAAAAAUUGUUUAAAGAUUGUCCCAUAUACAAACUUGUGCAAACCAGUCCAAAAGUUGUCAUGCACGACAUCUUUGUACACAGUUCAUCAGAAGUAGACUCGGUCGAACAGGAAGGCGACACAUUUAAAGAGCGGGAAAUGACGCCUGAAGAAGUGCAUGAGCCGACUUGUCGGUCCCUAAGGCCUCAAGGUAAAUGGGCGGCAAAGAAAAAAGGGAGUUUUUCCAAGAAUGACUACACAAAAUAUAUGGACGAACUUGCUCGCCAAGGUGAACUGAACAUAGCACAUGAAGCGGCUAGAUAUAAGACAAAAGCUGCGACUAUGCAAGCAAUCUUAGACGCUACUGAGAUACGUGAUGCGGCUAAUGAGAGACAAAGAAAAAUACUUAAACGAGAAAACCUGAUGCUUAGAGAAGAAAUGAUGGUUCAAGCAGAUCGUGACACUAUGAACAAGCCUCUAGUGGGAAUGUCUCCGAAUUCUAAAUAUUUUUGGACAUCGGUAAAAAGAGACGUGGUGCGAAGGAGGCGUGCAAGAGAUUAGGAAACAAGUCGAGGGGGUUCUAGCUACACAGAUCCUAGCACCACAUAUCCUAACUCCUUAGACUUUGUAUAAUUUCUUAUUUAUUUCUAGUACUUUAUGUAAUUUCUUAUUUAUUUUUAGUACCUUAUGUAAUUUCUUAUUUAUUUGUACUACUUUAUGUAAUUUUUUUAUUAUUUUAUUAAAAAAUUAAUAAUAUUUUAAAUGGAUUGUGUGCUAGCGCAUUUUUUUGGGAUGAAGAUGCAUUUGUACCAACAUAUUUUUUUAAGGGUGGAGAUGCAUUUGACCAAUUACUGUUAAUUGGGGUCAAUCACUAUUCAUUUGAGUGGAUUAAAUGGACUGCAUUUUUAGGGGUGGACUUGCUCUAAGGAUUCUCUCACAUAGAAAUAGAGAACAAAGUAACUUAAAAGGUUGUUAUAAUAUAAUCCCCCUAUUUUCUAUAGGGAUCGUCUAGAAAGCGGGUUGUUCUGAAUACAUUCAGACAGAAAAGCUGACAUAGAUGUUACAGGUGGAAUUUUUUUUUCGUUCAUGUCUUAAUAUAGGAAUUUAAACAUCUUCCAUAAAGGAGCCAAAUGAAACCAAAAUUUCACAUUCAAUUUUGAAUUAGAGACGUUAAAAAUGAUGAAUCAACGUUGACUAUAACCCCUAGCCUUCCAAGCUAACGAUGCGGGUUUGAUUCCCACUACCCGCUUUUACUUUAUUUUUUAUUAAAUUAAUAAAAAAUAAAAAAAAAUAGAAUUAAACAUUUUGAGAUUUUGAAUAUUUUAUAAAAAAAAUUAUGAAUAUAUAAUUAAUGUAAUGCAUCAUUGACUUGAAAAUUGGUUCAACUAUUUUUCUAAACAAGAUAUAGGAAAAUUGGAAUGAAAAGCGUCCAUUGUCUAAUGGAUAAGACAGAGGUCUUCUAAACCUUUGGUGUAUGUUCAAAUCCUAUUGGACACAAUUUAUUUCCAUAUCUAUACAUUUUUUUUCGAUUUCUAUGUCAAGAAAGAUAUUUUGAAUGACUUGAAUAAGAAACGCUCUUACUAAUUAAAGAUUUGCUAAGCGAACGAGCCCUAGCUUGAUCCAAGUCUUAUACAUUAAUUAAGCACAAGCAACAUGACUUAUAUGUUCCUCUUACCUUGCUUUAUUACACCGUUCAGAUGAAGCCAAGGACAUCCAUUAUCUAUAACAAAAAUUUCUUACUCUUUAAAGUAAGUAAGUAAACUGCCUUGAGAAGACCGAUUAAAUCAUUAAUAUGUAAAUUUUAAAAUUUUAAAAUAAUAAAUAUA
rnacentral:lncRNA from 1 species